rnacentral:lncRNA from 1 species
CCUCUCUUCAAAAAGUCCUCCUCCUGUUCUUAUUUCUGCCUCCGCUUCGACAUGCUGAGGAAGCGCGCCAGCACCGUCCAGAGGUUUGUGAGGGGAGAAGCGCUCAGCCCGUGAGAAGGCGAAGCGAGCGGCUGAAGCGUCCCCCUCCUCUCUCAAGCAGCGGCCCGGCCACCUCGCACUCGCUUCUUCAGGCGACUAAAGCGCGGCAGAGCGGCGAGCCCGGGCAGCCCACCCCACCUCCUCCUCCUCCUCCUCUCCUUCCCUCCGCCCUGCGCGCUCGGCUCGGGCGUGGAUGUUCGCUGGGAGCUCAGCUCUUCUGGGUUUUUCCCCCCCGCCCGCCUCGCUCGCUCCAACCCGGGCUCCUCGGCUGCCUUGCUCGGCGCGGGCAAGCCGCCUAGAGCCUCUCCAGGGCGCUCCUUGCACCUGGACGCCGCCUCCUCCGGGGAAGCUGAAGUUUGCGCGCCAAAAGCCGGGCAGGGAUGGAACCCGUUAACCAGGUAAGGGCGCCGGAGGGAGGGAGGGAGGGAGGCAGGGGGAAGCGCGCGCGCCGGGAGGCUUCGCCACGGGGGUUGGCACCCCUCCUGCCCUAACUCUGCCCUCACUGGCUUUUCUCUCUCUCCCCCCCCCCCCCACCAGCUCGCCUCCAAGGGAACCUUCCGGGCGCUGAAGGAGCCCCUGGCUUUCCUGAGGGUGCUGGAGUGGGUAAGUCGGACUGCCAGCUGGAAGAGGUGGAGAAGGGAGGGCGGGCGAGCGGGCGAGCGGAAGGGGUGGUGUUUGGGCUUGUGUGGGGCUGGAUAUCUCUGAGUGAGGGGUGCCUAGGUCGGCUGUGGGGAAGCUGUGCCGGGCGUUGAAGGGAAUGGCUAGACUCCCCUUGGUCUCAAGACAGUGGUUUCGGUGACUUCUUGAGCCUCUGCUGAUUAGGGGAAGGGUGUCUCUUUUUGGGGGGAGGGGACCUUGCAAAUCCAAACCCCUCUGGAUCUCCACCAACCGCUUUUCCUUUCGAGGGUGGGAGCAGGAAAACCAAGCUCCAGGUUUUUCUUCCCCUUCUGAGGUAGGAAGAGGAGUGCAAUUUUUAUUUUGUUUUUAAGAGGGUUCUGGCAUUCAAGUCCACCUAGAAAGGUUGCUAAGUGCUUGUUUUCUAUUUAGGGAAUAAUAGCCCUCUCUGUUUUGCAUUCACUUCUUCUGGCUUGAUGAAACAGGUGUGUCUCCUUCUCCUCCUCCCCUCGCUCCCAACCCCCUUCAAGGUUUCUGGUGAAGCCUGGCUAGGAUUGUAAGUCCCUUGAGAAGGAAGAAGUAGGGUGAAGAAUUGGAUUUGGGGUUAAGUGCGGGGAGGUGGAGAAAGACACAGUCUUGCUGCCUUUCAUUCCCCAGGACAGGAAAUUGGGGAGGGAGAUAUGGUAGUGAGAGUUUCCCAAAGUGUAAACACAGGAUGGAGUAGAGGCACAUGUUCCUCCUAGCAACCUGCUGGAGAAAGGAAAGAGGAUGGGGUAAAUAAGGGCAGACAAGAUGGUUCAAAAGCUUCUCUCUUAUUCCUGUUAUUCGUUAUCUACUGCCCCUUUCUAAGGAGCCUAUUUGGCCUCCCCACAAAAACCUUUGAGAAGGCCUGGCUUCUCCUUCCUCACUUUUUGAGCCAGCCCUGGUGAAUGGUAUUUUAGAUCCCAGCCACCUCCACCUCCCCAAACUCAAAUUUGUUUGCUUUGUGCCUGGCUUCCUUUGGCUUCAUCCACUCUGCUCAUUUAAGUGCAAAACGAAAGAACUGACGAUAUUUCCCCCUCCUUUCUAUCAAACAUUUCUCUCCCCCCUACCCCCUCUAGUUGUUAUGCAUUUAGCAAACUAGUCUCUGGGCUUGAGCAGUAAAUUGAGGCAGAUAAUUGGUUAGCGGAAUAAUGUCAGUGUUUGUUUCUCUGAUCCUUAUUCGGAGUGAAAUCUGCAGGUCAAAUGACAUCCAUUGCCAGUAGGUCUGAAGGAAGAGGAAGAACCCAUCUGAACGGAAAGUUCAGAGCCUGUCGUGGAAGAUUAAUCACAUCCCCUCUAAUGUUGAAUGGCUAGCAAAUUAUGUAAUAUAUAUAUAUAUAUGAGUGUGUGGGGUGUGUGUUUUGAUUCACACAUAUUAUGAACUUGUACAUUCGUCUGACGUUUAGUACACACAUCUGACGUUUGCGUUGAGAUACACAAGCCCUUUGAAGAAGCAUUUUUUUGUGAUUCUUUUCUUCUCUGUGAGUCCAGUGUUAAGUAUGCUUGCAUAUGCACGUAUGCCCAUAUUUCCCCAUAAGUUUUCCCUAGCCAAGUAGUUUGCUUUACACAUGGUUGUGUGAAACUUAGAAUAGUUUUAUAUCUAACUCUUUCCUACGGAAAUGUGUAAACAAUGAGGGGAGUGCUGUCAAUCUAUUAUUAUUCCCCACCCCAUUGCUUCUUGUGCAUAAAUUCAUUUUAUGUUUGUGGAAUGCAUAAGAAAGCUUUUAAUAAAAAGUUUUAGCUGCUAAUGAAAUGCUCUGUAGGAACAGUCUUAACUGCUAAAUGAAGUGUGCCAUAGAAACAGUUCAUCAGUUGAUGGGAAUGCCUGUUGUUAUAUGCUUUGAGUCUACCUUUUCUACACGGAAAUGCUGUUUGAAGGAAAUGUAUGUUGCUGGGCUAAAUACUGGCAGUUUGUAUCUUUGCCUGUGAAUACUGUAUUUUAAUAGUUAUUACAGUAUCUCUAUUUCAAGGAUGGGGCAGAAGCUGAAAGGAUGAAGUCAUGUGGCCUAUCCAAAGUCUGAAGAACACCCAAAACAGAGCAAAAACAACAGCAACAACUCAGGGAGCAGGGAAUCUAGCUGGUGGUGAAGGCUUGCUUCAGAAAACUAGUUGUUGGUGUAGAAAACUAGCUAGGCUAGAAAAUUCUGCAUACUUUGGUUCCAAACAGUGUUGCAACUGGAGCCUAAUGAUGAUGAUGUGCUUGUUUCGUGCAUCUUAUCAUCCAGCUAGACAAUCACAGUGAAAUACAUUGAAGGACAAGUUAGGCAUGGAAAUGGAGCUUUUGCUUUCUGCCCAUAAUUUAAUUGUGUUGCUAUAUCAUGUGUCUGCCUGUCUGUCUCUGCAGCACAUGUGGUUGGAUCUGUGUUUAUUUUAUAGCAAACCAUGAUACAUUAGGUUGAAGAUUUUUGGAUUAUGUAUAUGGAAUUUCACAUUAUCUAGGCAGGGUAGAAAUAAUCUAGUUGUGACUAUCUAUGAUUGUCUUAGAGUCAGUUAGAAGAAGCUUGACGCUUUCUGUCAUAUGACCAGUAUAUCAUUUUGUUUUAUACGAAAGCCACAAUAUCUAUGUACCAUUGUUUAUGCAUACCAUCCUCUGUGCUUCCUGAACUUUGCAAUGAAACUUGAACUGGGACCUUUUAAGGGAAGGUUGAGGCAUUGUGGCAGGAUGGAAGAGACUACCCAGACUUUGAAGAGAAAGUGCUUCUCCUUUCCCCACCCCUUCCUGCCCACCUCAAGGUUCUUCUGUUGCCUCCCUUUUUUCAGCCAAGUCAAAGCAGAAAUGUAUGGAGCAUUCAAAGGAAGAUACAAAGAAUGCUAUCCAGAGACUGCUAUCAGCUUAAUACGAGGAUUGCACCAUGUACACUUCCUUCUGCCAACUCAAACCUACAGAUCUCUUGAGCUUUGAGCCAGAGGUGUAAAACACUUCAGGGACUGGACAGCAUGACUCCAUGAGGGUGCUUAUGGGGUGGAUUGCUGAUCCACAAAGAGCUUGGCUUAAGGAAUCGUAGAACUGUAGAGUUGGACGAGACACCAAUGCAAGAAGGCAGCAGUCAGGGCUUUAUGGUGCUAUGGAUUUUGACUCUUUAGUCUUUUCAGCCACAUUAGUUUUAGAGGAGCUUUCUACAAUUAAUAGCAUCAUUGGCAUCAAGUAUCCAUCAAGAAUCACAGAGUUGUUCAGACUUGUGUAGGCUGACUAUAUAGCUUGACUCUCACCCAAUAGUCUGUCCCCUUGGACAGAUUUUGAUAUUAUGAAAAAAUCUUCAAAAUUAUGACUUUUAGGUAGGAAAGCGAAACAUUAUAAUUCAUUUUUCUUCCAAACUGAUAUGUUGCUGAUUUCCUAGAGCAGUUUAUGAUAAAGCUACUAAAACACAGUGUUUUCUGUUUUCUUAAAUGCCCUUUUUAUUGACUAAUUUUCUAGUGAUAACCAGCCAGUGACAAAACUCAGCUUGAUUCAGGACUUCCGGGGUGGCGCCACCGGCAAUGGCGGACUCCCUCUGAAUUGGAGGGACUAGCUCCGCAUGAAACGGGUCUUUUCCGCUGCGGCGUAGCGGGGACCCUUCUGGAAAUCACAGGCGGAUGAAGCCUGUGACCGUGGGACUCGGCGGGCACCCUUAGCGCCCCCCCAACCCACAAAGGAACCCACAAACGGGCUCCGAAGUGAAGAGGGGGAAGUGGCACGGUGCUGUGAGUCAAUUGCUUUUUCUGCGGAGCGAAGCCGCAUAGUCGUUGCCGGAGAGCGCUGCCUUUUUCCUGGGACAAUUUGGCAUUUAAAACAACCAACCGUGAGUACUGGAACAUUGAAUAUUUGGACUUCAAAUAAGAACUGGCGAAAUAAAAAGGAAUUUGGACUUAAAAAUUAACCCUAAUUUGGUACUGAAACGGGAAGGUUUAAACAGGAAGUCACCCUUCCGUUUCCUCGUAGUCAGAACAAAGCAAAGACAACGCAAACUAGAGCCUUAAAAAUCACUUUUAAAGGAUCAACUUUCAUCAUUUAAAAUAGCUGAAUCCCCCUUCGGUAGCAGGGGAAGAAGGGGGACCUUUUUUUGAGCUGUUUAAACCUGCAGAAGUGAAUCUAAAGCAAAGUAAUUUUCCACCGUCCUGACCCUGGAGCGGGGUGUCAGAAUUGACGUUUGAAGCUCAUUGACCAGAAACAAAUGUCUUUGACAGAUAGUUAAAAGAAGAGAAACAUUGUGACUCCAUUGUUUCCUUUCGUCUUUUAAAAGAACAAAUAUGGACAAAAUAUCUUAAAAAAGAAACUUUGUUGCUAUUGUCUUCAAGAAAAAGAACAACCAGAAGUUUUUCCCCCUAGAGGGGAACUGUGAAAUUGUAACUAAUUCCUGGGAACUUGCAGCUGUCACUGAUUACAACUGUGGGAAAGGAUUUGUGACCUUGUAGGACAAUGUCUUCAGAAGCACUGUUGGGUGCUUUCUGUAAAAUAAAUGCCCUAUUGGAUCAGUUAAGUCAGAAGACGGAUUUCAUGACUAAUGCGGCCAGAACCUUUGAACAGGUAGUGGGAAACUAUAUGGAGCCCACCCAGGAAUCAAAACAGGAGCGUGCCAUGACAGAACAACUGAAAGAAGAGGACCUUGCUGAAUCUUGGGCGCCAGAGACGGAGGGAGCUGCGGCCCAGCAGGAAUAUAAACUCUUGGAUUUGAUAAAUGAACUUGGAAAAAUCAGACUUGGAAAGAUAAAAUCUGGUUUGGUUUGGAAAUGGGGGGUUGGAUAGACCCCCCUUUACAGGGAGAUUUGGACUUUUCAAGUCUGGAAAGGGGCCGUCAGAUGUUUGGAGCUGUGGGGGCUCUCAAUUUUGAAGGGAAUCUGGAGCAUGCUUGUAAAUACUACAUCGAGCCUAUCCUGGACUAUGGAAAAGGGAUCGUCUUGCUGAAAAGGGUCAAAAACACUACCAAGCUGGAGUUCCCACGAAUAAAAGGGAAAUAUAAAGAAGAGUUACGGAAGGGACAUGGAAGAGACUUGAGGGCCUCGGAUAUAAGAUUGCCAGGUUAAUGUGCUAGAUUAAUAGGAUAAAAAGGACUGACAAAACCCGGGACCAGGAGGAAGGGACGUUGGAUGAAGACUGGAUUGCUUUUUUCUUUUAUUUUUAUCAUUAGGACUGUUUUAUAAAAUUGAUGAAUGUUAGGAAAAUGUUGAAAUGAAACUAUUUGGCUCUUAUAAAAAUGUCUAAAGAACUAGGUAAGAAUGUUAUGGUUUAGGAGAAGUUGGUAAAAAUUAAGAUUUAAGUUUUAAACUUUAAGGUUUUCUAUAAGAUAAGAUGAAAAUAGAUCAAGGUAAUGUGAUGACAGAAUACUAUGAAUUAUGGAAAGGAUUUGCUGUGAUUAUUAUAAAACAGGAUACAGGAAAAGGGAGGAGGAGGAGGUCAAGGAAAGAAGGUAUUGAAAGUGGAGAAUUGGAGAAUGAUGGUUUUUUUUUUAUUUUAUUUUUUAUUUUUCUGUCUUGUUUUUUCUUUUGUGUAAUUUAAAAAAAAAAAAACUCAGCUUGAUUCAGCCUCAAACCUAGUUCCAAAGAUGUAACCACAUUAUUCUCCUGGCAAAAGAAAAGAAAAAAAACCCCAGAGAGUUUUGUGGCAUCUUCUUGUUUUGUUUCCUUCCAGCAUCUCACAUCCAUAUUUGGAUAUAUGCCUCUUCAAGUUCACUCCAUUGCUUUCUGCUGUUUGCUCCUUGCAUCCACAUAAGCCUUGCUGUUAGUUUCAGAUCAUCUGCCUGUGGUUCCGCCUUGGUCUUUUGAAAUUGUAGGCUCUCCAUGCUAACCCUGCUUUAGUCCAUUGGCCUAAAUUGCCCCUUGUAACAUGUCCUGCCUUAUGUCCAACUUCAACUUCAUGGCCUUCACCACUCCAUCCAUAACUUCUGGUCUCUGUCAUAUCCAGUUACUAGCUUUUCUGUCUUUUAUAUUCCUGACAUUGAACAUUCCAUGGUACAUUGUGUUAUUCUUAAGCUGUUCAUGUUUCUCUGUGUCAUGGUCCAAGUCUUCUCUCCAAAACACAUCACAUGUAAUACAUUAUUUUAGUCUUGGCUGUGGGUUAAACUACAGAGCCUAGGGCUUGCCAAUCAGAAGGUCGGCGGUUCGAAUCCCCGCGAUGGGGUGAGCUCACGUUGCUCGGUCCCUGCUGCUGCCAACCUAGCAGUUCGAAAGCAUGUCAAAGUGCAAGUAGAUAAAUAGAUACCGCUCCAGCAGGAAGGUAAACGGCGUUUCCGUGCGCUGCUCUGGUUCGCCAGAAGUGGCUUGGUCAUGCUGGCCACAUGACCCGGAAGCUGUACGCCGGCUCCCUCAGCCAAUAAAGCGAGAUGAGCGCCGCAACCCCAGAGUCGGUCACAACUGGACCUAAUGGUCAGGGGUACCUUUACCUUUAGGUUCAUCUUCAGUCCUACCUUUUUUGAUACUUCAUUUAGUUCUUCCAACUUUUUUUUAUAGUUCUUGUUGACCUUUGGCUAUUGCAACUAUAUCUUCUGCGUAUCAUAGACAAUUUAGAUCUCUUCCAUUGAUGUUGAUUCCAUUCUGGCCUCUUAAAGGCUAACAAAUAUCUUAUGCCUUUUGUGGAUCAAAGUUUACCCCAUAAAAUGCAGGAAGUGCUAUGAGUUGCAGGUAUACAUAUUAUAUACCUGAAUAUAUACCAACCAACACGGGAUAACGCUUCAUGCAUCUGAUAAACUGGACUGUAAUCCAUGAAAGCUUAUGCUAUAAUAAAUUUGUAAAUAAAUAAAUAAAUAAAUAAAUUUGUGCAUCUUUAAAGUUCCAUAGGACUCUUUAUCUUUUGCAGCAAACCUAAACACACUGGCCAGUGUGUGUAUUCCUCUAAACAUAGUGGAACUAAAAAAAGGAAACACUUAGGGUCACACAAUCAUCCUUGCCACAAAAUAGGUUUAAAAUCUCACAUCUCCUUUUCUUGCACUUAAUGCUCCAUAUGAGUUGUCAUUUAAAACUUAAAAUAGGAAACAGCAACCUUCUGCUCAUUUUGUUUUUGUUGUGGCAAAUUCUACACCAGUUUGCAUCCAUUGACACAUAUGCUCAGAACAGUCCAAUUAUGCCCCCUUAAUUGCCAGAUUUACAGCUGUUUCCUUUCGAGUGUUUAAUGGCAUGCAAUAUGACCAGUUUCUCUCCCUCUUAAAAUAAAUAAAGUGCUGAUUGCAAUGGAAUCAAUCUGUUUUUAACUACUCUUACUAAUAGUGGUGUGUUCUUGGCUGAUGCUACCAUGCAAAGAUUUGAAGUGUUUGUUCACUGUUUUUCAUGCGAGGAGACUUGAUACUGGAGUGUCUAAUAAAGUUCUCAGUUUUGACAUCUUUUCAAUAGUAUGUUGAGCUACAGUACUAUGUUUCCUGCAGUGUCUCAAGAAGGCCCGCAUCUCAAAACAAUUCCGUUACUACAAGGGGAAGCCCACAUGGUGCUUUCCUGAUGUUUGUUGGACUCCAACUCCCAUCAUCCCUGACCAUUGGCCAUACUGGCUGAGGCUGAUGGGAGUUGGAGUCCAUCAAAUAUCUGGAAGUAGCUAGGAUGGCUACCCUUGAGUUACUGUGCUGCAGACAGUGUAUCUCGCUGCCAGCAGCAAGGUGUAAACCCUGAAGUGAUCUCACAUAUUCAUAAUGUUUGAAUGUUCAUUCUUUGGUGACCGGAGUGGUGUCAUGAUGGUUUGAGUUUGACUAUUUCAAUAAAUUGUGUUAAGCUUUUUAUAGCAUUGUGUUUUAACUGUUGUAACCCUCCCUGGCACUUUCAUAUGAAUGACAGGUAAUAAAACAACAGCAGCAACAAGUAAGAGGAGCAUUAUUCACAGACUCUGUUCUUGUGGUUCAGGAAGUUCUAUCUCUUUCCUCCCUUUACAUCCACGGCUGUACCCAGCUGCCCCAAGCAGCCUAUUUAGGGGCCCUGGAUAAGGCUGACCCAACUCGGAGACCACUCAACCUGGAUUGUCAUGGGAAUAACCACACAAGUGGUAACAUUUACAUGGAAAGGGAGGAUGACUCUUGAUAGAUUACUUAAUUUAUGAAUGGUCAGUGCAAUCACUUCGAAGUGUCCUUUUCUCUCAGAUGGAAUUCAUAAGGUUUUGUGCUUUACCAGGUUACAAUACUGGGGCUAAUCUUGCAAGUAGAAAGGCAACUAGGGCAACAGUGGAAGAAGACUCACAGCAAACUCAACCGAGCGCAUCUUAAAGGCCAUUUUCCUGUUUAUUCUAUGAUGGUGGCAAAGAAGUUACUGUUUUCUAUCACCAUCACAUCUGUUCAGUGUUGUGCAGUGGAAUUCCCCCAUGUGAUGAGGGACUUAAUUGAAAUCAGUCUGGCCAGAGAGAGUCUCUGAGUUCCAGCACCUCUUUGUUUCAUUACAGCAGCUCUGUAGAGUGGGGGGAAUCACUGAAUUCUUCUGAGUUAAACAGCUAUCACCUGAUCCAACACAUUUUGGGUUGGGGGGAGCAAGGGGAGUGUGUGGGUGGUGGUGGCACAGCUCCAGAGAUUCUUGGAUGGAAUUGAUUGGAUGGAAUUGAUGAGAUUCUUUCUCAUCUGGCCUUUGGACUAGUUUGGGGACUGAAACUGACUUUGUUGACCCACUGGAUGACUUGAAAGGGAGAUUGUUGGUGAGUGUGACCCUCUUGGUUCUUCUUUUCAACUUAUCAGUGGCAUUUGACAACAGUGGCCAUGGUUCUUCUGGGUAACCUUAUGGGGAUGGGUAUUAGGAUUGUGGUAUGGAACUGCUACCAUUUAUUUCUGACCACGAGGACACCCAGUGGCCUACAGGAUUCUGUGUGGUUCCAUCUUGUCUCCUAUACUGUUUUACAUCUAUAGCGUAUCACUGGAAGAAGGCAGCAGAAGAUUUAGGGGGUGGCAUCAUCAAUAUGCUGAUGAUAUCCAGCUCUAUCUUUUUUUUACACAUACGCUCCUAGGGAGAAAAUGGAAAUGCUAGACUACUGCUGGGGUAUAACAAGCUAAAACUCAAUUCAGAAAAGACAGAAGUACUUGGGGUGGAUGGGCCACCCAAUUCAGGUUUAGGAGUGCAGCCUGCCUUGAAUGUAGUCGCAUUCCUUCUAAAAGUCCAAGCCUAUAGUUUGGAGGUGCUCCUUGACAUGGUGUUGCUGCUGAAUGUGCAGGUUUUGAGGAGCAUCUUUUCAUGACUUCAACUGGUACAUCACCUACAGUCUUACCUGAUGAAAGGACCUUGCCAUACUCACUCAUGCCCAAGGUUAGACUACUGUAAUGCAUUCUAGAUAGGGCUUCCCUUGAAAAAGAUUUAAAAGCACCUGCCAUUAGUGUAAAAUGCUAUUGCCAGGGUCUUGACUGGAAUGAGGUGAGCAUAACAUAUUAUUCCAUUUUCUUUGAUCUUCUCUGUGUGCCAGCUUGUUUCCAGACUCAAUUCAAGAUCCUAGCUUUUACCUUUAAGUGCCUAAAUAUCAAGGUGAUGUUCCCUCUUCGCAGUAACACUCCAGUACACUCAGCGUGAUAUUUACAGUCUUUAUUACAUAUAUACAAAAGAACAGCUACAGUUCAAAAUCAUGCAUCCGAACCUAUCGAGUCAGAUUCAGGGAGUGGCUUCUUUCGAUUCCGGUGCCAACAAAGUAGGCGUGGAAAUCUCACGAGACGUCUAUGAUCUUUACGUUUCAUUUCUCUCCUUGCCUGUGCUGAUGUGAAUGCUCCCCCCCUUUCUGAGUCUGAACUUCCUUCUCCCGGCGUUGGUGGGUUAUAGGGCUCUUCACCAUCUCUGACCCCCUGCUCCGCCUGACUACUCUCUGCCCCCUGUUUUGCUUCACGCCUCAUUUCCCUGUCUUCCACUUCUGACAGUUCCUGCUCAGAACCCUCCCCUGCUACUGACGAAGCAGCGCGUUCUGGCUCUUCCCUGACGUGGGAACCAUAAGGACUUCCUUCUUCCAUUUGCUCUAUUUAUCAUUUGAGGCCCUGACUUGCUCUCCUUAGCUGUCUGAGACCUACUGGAUGGCAACAAGGAACAGGGUUUUGGUGUGUUCUUGGGGUGGCAACACCUAUCCUAUGGAACACCUUUCUGGUUGAGAUGAGACUCUUAAUCUCAGGGUUGUGCAUUUGAGCCCCACAUUGGGCAAAAGAUUCCUGCGUUACAGGGCGUUGGACUAGAUGAUCCUUGUGGUCCCUUCCAGCUUUAUGGUUCUGUGAUUCUAUGAUUUUCAGCAUUUGGUUAAAAUGUAGCUGUUUAGAAUGGAGUUCAACUGAAGGACAUUUCUCUCCUUGUUAUAUUAGGGUUGUUUCCUUUUCUGUGCAUUCAGUUGCGGCUUUUGAGGCUGCUUGGGGAGAGAGAUGAGUUGUUUUGUGAAUUUGGUUUCUAUUGUUUGUAUAUUGCACUGUUUAUGUAAGCCACUUCAAAGGGUUCUUUAAAAAAAAGUUUUAAAGAUUAAUAAAUAAAUAAGUUCAAAAUAUUCAUGAGAAGACAAAUAUUUUGAAUGGGUCCUGGCUGUGUAAACAGAGUACACCAUAUGACAUUAUUUUCCCAUCACAUGAAUCUCUGGUGGACAGUGGGACCAAAAUUUCAAAAAAGAAAUGUGACUCAGCCGGGUGGUGUUCAAGUCUGUGCUUGUGGUGUGGCUUUUUAUCAUGGUGCAUGAACUUGCCCCAAAGCUGCUAUAAGACAAAGACACACAGAAUUCACUUGUGUGCAAAGUAAGUGUAGUAGACAAGCAAGCUACACAGGUGUGGCAAAAGUUGGUAGCAGGACAAUGAGACACACCCCCCAUUUCUGAAGCAAAGUGUGAGACCUUCCACCUCCUUAUCUCAUAGAUUAUUCAUGCUGAUUUGCACAAUUGCCCUGACUAAUAAUAAAGACAUUGGCACCAGGAUUAGGAAGAGACGUAUGAUUUGGGGUAAACAUGUUUUUUUCAGUAGCUAUUGGUAUUAUUCCUUCAGUUUGAGUUGAGUUUUUUGCUUUAUGUAAAAGGAUAUACUCAGGGAUUGUGAAUUUCAUUUGGUAAAGUGGAGUUUUGUUGCUUUUUUAAAAAACUUUUAUUUACAGUACAACCCCGUGAACUUUUACUUGGAAAUAAGUGUGCAUCAGCUGGGAGCCCUAGAAAUGCGUUGUUUUCUUUAGAAGUUACUCUUUCUUCCUAAGCCUUGAAAUAUCAGUUUUACUAAUUUUUAAAUAGUUUAUUUCCCCGCUCGAACAAAACCUGACUGGCAUGCAGAUUCUGUUUUGAAUUGCUGUCUUGGUAGAAAACAUUAAACAAACACAAAACAGUCAGAGGGCAGUUAGUGGAUCAAUCCUUGGUUUCCUUUCAUCUGGAGAAAACAUCUUUCCUUUUCAGUGUUGCUUUCGUUCUGUUCUUUCUGUUCCUCUCACCCUCCUUAACAGGCAUUUCACUUUAUCUUGAGGCAGAAAUUGCAAAACUCUUUAAUGUACAGAUAAUGCUAGUGCACUGUAUUUAUCUCUCCAUCUGUAGCUGGAACUUAUUUUCAAGCCAUGGCAGUCUUCAGAUAAUCAAAGCUGAUAAGCCUCAAUUUUCAACAUACAUCAGCAUAAGUAAUGGGAGAAUGAGGGCAAAACAGUACUCUAGGAAGACAAAUGCUCUGUUUGGGUCAAUGUAAGUUGGAAAGAGCAAACAUUCCAGACAACGAAAACAAAAUUGGUUGGAGAAGAUUCAGGGCUAUAUUUUUGUUGUAUUCUGCAAUUAAAUGUAUCACAUCUAGGGCUGAGUAUGUACUGAAUGGGGAAAAGCAUGUUCAGAAACUUUAGAUGGUCCAGAGUGGCACUCUGAGAGUGACUCAACAUUUGGGUGGGACAGACAGAGGUUUAGGCCUGUUUUGUUUUCAUUGAGUACAUAUUUGUUUUCAGACCAAUUCGGGGGGGGGGGGCGGCUAGCUUAAUCCUAAAUUAUUUAAUUUAUUAGAUAUCUAAAGGACCAUCUCAUCACAUGUAUGCAGUCUUGUAGAUGCAGGUCAACAUCAGAAUUCCUUGUGCCUCUGCAUCACCAGUGAGUUUAGCAGGCUGGCACUUAGAGGCAUGAGCUUCUUAGCUGUAUCCCUUCAUCAGCAUCUAUUUCAUCAAUGUUUUUAUUUCACUGUAUUGCCAGUACAUGGCUAUUUCUAGAGGGUCUAUGGGGACUGCUUCUAUUGUUUUUUAACUUGAAUACCAUUUUCCACUUUGGUGUGUGUGUGUGUGUAUAUGUAUGUAUAUGUAUGUAUGUAUGUAUGUAAAGGCAGGAUAUAACUAUUUUAAUAAAUUGAUUAAAUGCAGCACUUACUGUUUUUACAAAGAUGUUUGCAGUGUCAAAAUAUGAUGAUGAUGAUUUUGAUGAUUCCUCCCAGCCUUCUUUGUAGAAUAUUAGUAUAUUUGUUAAAUCAGACUUACUUUGAUAUUUGAUAUUACUUUGAUAUUUUGUAGCCAAAUAUGAUUGUGUUAAUCUACAUUCUUUUUUGUGAAACAGUGUCAGGAAUGUGAAUGUGACACCCUGUUUACUAUGUGAUCCCUGAUGGGAUGGAUUACCCUACCCUACUGGGAAUUGAGUUUGAGUAGUUCAUGUAUAUUCUUAGUGGUUUUGUAAGCUGCUCUGAGAGCCAUUUUUUAGAAGGGUGGGGUAUAAAUGCUAUACCAGCAGCAGCUAUAGUGUUUGCUAUGGUAUAUUUAAUGCACCUUUUCAAUAGAACGGAACAAUCUUAUUUCCCUUCCACCUGAUGCUGACUUGGAGUGGCUAAGCCUCAAUGUCUUCUGCUUUUGUUCAGUUUGUAUGUGUUUAUGUUUGAGUAAGCCCAAAGAGUACAUAAGGUUCUCUGCACUGCUGUAAAAUACUUACAUGUCUUGUCAUAAAAUGAAGCUGCUUACAAAUCUAUCUUUCCUUGAGUGCUUAUUUGACAGCAGUACCUGUUUGGAAACCUUAAUAAGCAAAGAGAGGAUAUGAUGCUUUUACUUAACAUUCUAUUCAUAUAUCCCGCCCUGCCCCCCCCCCCCCGCCCUCCAGCAAUUCUGUUUUCAAUAGGUCCUAUAAGGCACAUAGGCUUUAUGCUGCAUCCAGGCUAUAACAAAAUCCACUCUUCUGUCUGUUGUCCCAAUGUACUUUCACACAUCUCUGCAGUUAUAGUAGCAUGCAAAAUAAGAAAGUACCAGCUUAACCUAACUUUUUGAUCUGCUGGUGUGGGGUUCUGUCAUCAGCUUAAUUUGUUUUUGCUUUGUUUAGGCAUGCUUUUUAAUAAGAAGAUACAAAGCUGAAAAUGAAUGAACUGCAGCUAAAAUCUUAUGUUCAUUUUUCACAUGGUCUAGUCCUCAUCUGAAGACUGCAAACACAAAGCCAUGCUUCCCCUGCCCGCCCCCCUAAUAUUCUUAAGAGGGUCUCUUCUCCAGUCUUCAGUGGAUGGAAGCGGAGAGGCAGAAAAUGGUCCUCCUUUCCUUCCACUCUGUAGUUUUAAUCUGAAAUCUUAGGCGAAACUGCUCCCACUAAUGAAAUUCCUUGUCGCAAAACACACCUCGAACAAUGGGAGUUUUGAAUGCUGCCGGAUAUAAUAUUUGAAUAUUAAAAAAAUUAUCAAACGAAACUAUAACUGGGAAACGGUUCUGACCAGCAGAUUACUGGACUGUGCCUCAAUUUCCCUAAUUUCUGCAAUUAUGUAGGUAAAUGCCCACAUUUGCUCAACAGGUGACCUUGCUUCCUGUUCUGUAGACUCUGCCUCUUUCCAUUAUUAGAGGGCUGCAUUGUGGAACCUACAAUUUAUUUUGAAGGCUUACAGCUGUGUCUCUUGGUGAAAGCUGUAAACAAACAUUUGCUGCCCUUACCUGAGUCUCUAACCCGUUGCAUUUAUAUAUUGUGUACUGUAACAAAAGUGAAGGGAGAAUGGGUACCACUGCCGAUGAGUCAUCAGGUGCUGCUGCUCUGAAUCUUUUUACCUUUGUGUUGUUUCACCAAUAGACAUUGCCAUCAUUUAAAGCCUGAGAAUAUAUGCUUGCUUUUUCACAUUUCAGUACUUUUUCACGUUGCAUAUAAUUAACUUAGGAAAUUCACUAUCACAAGGUGGUUAGAUGGACACAAACUUGGGUGUCUUUAAAAGAGUUUUUUUAAAAAAUAAAAUAAAAAUGCAGAUAAAACCAGUAAACACUUUUCCUGGUCAAAGUCCAUAGAGUUGUGUUGAUCCCAUAGAAGAAGACGACAGAGAGGCACACGAGACUCUUAUCUGAACAAAUUACUGUUGAAAAUAUAUACAGUAUAAGGUUUUCAGUGACCCAGAUCUUCUUCCUCAGGCAGAAUGUUUGAGGGAAGAAAUGAGAAAAUAUUUAGAUAUUUCUGUGCAGAGACUCCCUGCUGUGCCUGGCUUAUCCUAUUGUCUGCAACCCUUUCAAUAUUAAGAUGAAGUUGAUGCAGAUCAUGCUUAACUAUAUUAAAUGUAGGACAUAUGCUGAAGCUUCAGGAUAUACAAAGGCUUCCUAGACCAAAGAAGUAAAUAAAAAUCUCCUUUUAGGUUUCCUUUUGGAUCUGUUUGGCAUUACUGGGUGCAGAGUUAUGUCACACUAAGAGAAUGCUGUAGUGGGAGAAGUUGGAGGGCGCCCACGAAUUUUAAAAAAUGACACGAGUCCUGUGUCACCCUGAAGACUAACAACAUUAGAAUGUGACCUUGCAUGGGCUUUAGCCUGCCAAAGUUAUGCCACAAUACAUUUGUGAAACUUAAAAUGCCAGAAUAUUCUUUGUUACAUAUUUUUUUUGUAGCAAUGGAUGGAGCACAGCUAUUCCUUUAGAAUUUGCAGAUUCAAAGUUCAUCAAGGGAAUGUACAUAAAGCUAUUCCCUGAUUAUGACAUUGCUAGCAGUUGUCUACACAUCCAGCUCAAAAGCAACUGAGAGGAAAGGCAAAGUGUCUGCAUAUUUCUGUCAGCUUGAAACUUUUUGGUACUUCUCUCCUGUUAUCACUUUUAUACUUGUUUUGACUCAAGUGUGUCUCAUGGACCCAACCUGGCUGAACCACCUAAAGCUGCAAAUAUAUUCAAACGUGCCUGGCAGUAAGUCCUGUUGAACAAAAUGGGACUUCAUUUUGAGUAAACAGGCAUAGGGCUGCACUGUAUAUAUUUUAUUAUUUUUAUUAAAUUUGUAUACUGCCCUUCAUCUGCAGAUCCCAGGGCAGUUCACAACAAAAAAUUGCAAUACAGUGGUACCUCGGGUUAAGAACUUAAUUCGUUCCGGAGGACCGUUCUCAACCUGAAACUGUUCUUAACCUGAAGCACCACUUUAGCUAAUGGGGCCUCCUGCUGCUGCCGCGCCACCGCCACACGAUUUCUGUUCUCAUCCUGAAGCAAAGUUCUUAACCCGAGGUACUAUUUCUGGGUUAGCGGAGUCUGUAACCUGAAGCGUAUGUAACCCGAGGUACCACUGUAUAAAAACCACAACAUAAAUAGUAAAAACAAGAAUAACAACCAACCAAUAAUUCCCCCUCCCCAACACAUUUAAAAGGGCAUUGGAUGUUAAUCAGCCCAAGGCCUGGUUGAAGAGGAACGUUUUUUGCCUGGUACCUAAAGGCAUGUAAUGAAGGCGCUAGACAAGCCUCCCUAGGGAGAGCAUUCCACGAUCAGGAAGCCACUGCAGAGAAGGCCCAUUCUCGUGUUGCCACCCUCUAGACCUCUUGUGGAGGGGGCACAUGAAGAAGGGCCUCAGAGGAUGAUCUCAGGGUCUGGGUAGGUCCUUGAGGUAUUGCAGUCCUUAGACUUUUAAGGCUUUACAGGUCAAAACCGGUGCUUUGAAUUGGACCUGGGAUCUUGAGGGGGCAUAUGACAAUUUCUUUUUCAGAGGUUACUUUUCAAAAGCUCCUCCCUGCUCACACACAAAUUGGCCACCCUGUCAUGUAUGAUCUAGUUGACAUUCCUGCACUGUAGGGGGUUAGACUAGAUGACCCUCAGAGUCACUUCCAACUCAGUAGUUCUAUGAUUCUAUGAAAUUGCCAAUUUGAAAGUCUCAUGAGAGAGUUGUUGAAGGGGAAUGUUGCCUGUAGAUCUCAUGAAGUGUUAUAAUAUAAGGGGUUCACAAAUGCAUGUAAAGUUUGCUCUUAUUGUUCUUCCCAGAUCCCAGGGUCAGUGAUGGGGGGACAACAAUAUAUGCUACAAACAAGGCCAAACCUUGGUUUGCCCAUGUUCAGUAUCUUGAAGUAGGGCAUGCCACUGUGUCAGUUUAUAUGUCUCAAUUGAUAAGCCAAUAUAUUAUCUAUCUAUCUAUCUAUCUAUCUAUCUAUCUAUCAUCUCCCUGCUACUUCUCACUGUGGGGACUCACUGUGAUUAUUUGAGGAAGGACAAAAAAAUCAAAAAUAUAUUUAAGAUAUUGAAAUAAUACGGUGAACUCCACAGCUUUUAUGGAUGAGCACCAUGGAGUUCCAUGUUUUGUUGUUUUCCAGCACCAUGAAUUAACUGUGCACAUCCUCUAAGUACAUUAGAACCUCCAAAUCCCUUCCCUUCUUUUGGUCUAUGGGAAAUUUUGCUACAGGUCUGUGUUAAGAGCUCUGCCAAUGAGCUAUGAUUUAUUAGUUGUUACGAUUUGAAUCCAGUAACCAAGCGUUCAGCAGGCAAAGCAUAAGAAACAGAAAUUUGCAUUUGGAUAUGAGAAAUCUGGCCUAAAGAUCUACCAUUCUAGGGAUUCUAAAAUACAAACAGUAUGUUCUUCAGAGUUGUUGCAAGGGCAGAGAUGAUGAUGAAGAUCAUGAUCAUGAUCAUGAUCAUGAUAUUACUCAUACCCCACCCAUCUGGCUGGGUUUCUCCUAAUUAGAACAAUGUAUUAAUAUAAAGAAUAGCAUGCAAUGUAUUUUCUAACCUUUUUUGUGCUGCUCAUUCCCUGCCUUUCAAAAGAUUUUAUACAAGACGAAGGAUUUCAUGGGAAUGUCAAACAUUCGCCAUCUUCAGCCUGUAUCUUUUCAGGUUUUCUCUUUUAGUCCAGGUACAAAUGGUCACAAAGUGUUUUGCAACAAAACGUCCAUUUUGGUGUCGUAGAGAGGACCGCCCCCCCCUUUCUCUAGACUUGCUGAAUUAGGCAUGCAGUACCAACUGUGGAAUUGUGUUGCAACGUCUGAAAAAUCUGUCAUGCCCAUGUUUAAUUGUAUUCAACUUUUCCCCUCAAUAAAAAUAAGUAUUACCUGAAGUUCUGCGCAUAGCAAAUGGCCAGCUCUGCAGACUAGCGGAACUGUUGGCCUGUCAGUCUGAUGUUUAUUGCAGAAGAAAUACCUGAUGUAGCAGGCAAUCCUGUAGAACACUGAGUUUGAAGUACAUGAUUGUAGACUUAAAGUACAGAGAAGGUGGGAGGGGAGGAGAGGGGAAGUGGAAGAAAUGUCCUUCUAAAUUUCCAAAAGAAAAUUAUUUGAGAUCCUGUUUACCUAAGAGAAGGGUUUAAAGCAGUGCUUCACUGUGCAUCUACAUUUCAAAAGAAUCUUCUUUCGGUGUUUUCUGUCCUUCCAAAAUCCGCUUCUUUACUUGCUAAGUAUUAACUGCAGCACUAAUAUGCAUUUCUGCAGAUGAAGCGAAUCCAUAAUCUUCUUCUUUUUUUAAAGUUGAAAUUUUUACACUUUUCUAAAUUCAGUACAAACUAUGCGGUACAGUGCAAACUUAUAAGAGUACAGCAGCAACAAAACAAGGAGGGGUUGUUAAAGGAAAGGAAGGUGGGGGAGGGCACAGGAAAGCGAAAUGUAAACCUGGUAAUGCAUGUCCAAGCGUCGAACAUGCAGCAGAUGCAUAACAAAAUGUAGAGCACAAUAUUCAGGAAAUUAAUGUAAGGAAGUUGCAGGAGUUAAUGUGUUGUGAUUUUCUAGCAAAAGCACCCAGUGUGCAAACCAGGGCCAGUGAGGAGUGUGGUCUGGGGGAGGGUUCAAUGAGUCCUAAAAUUCUUCACCCCUUCCUUCGCUGAUGCUAACAGAUGUGGAAAUGAAUUGUAUGGGGGUAGGGGGAAUCGCAGCAGCAGGCUUCUCCCCUGAUCUAGGUGCAUUAGCUUACCUUCCAACACUCCACAUGAAAAUAGGAACAUUCUGUUGGGUGCCGUAUGUGCAAAUGAUUCUCCGCAUAUGUGGCCCUCCAAAUGCUAUUGGAUUCCAACUCCCGUCAGCCCAAGGCAGUAUGUCCAAUGGGAGUUGGAGUCCGAUAACAUCUGCAGGGGCCACAGGGCCUCCCCCUUCUAGUGAAGAUGCAAGUGGCAGAGGAUGUGUGGGAGGAGGCCUUACUGCAGGGCCUGCAGCGUGCCUGAGCCACGUGUCUCUCCUGGGAGUGACGCGGUGGCUUGGGCGCCUGCAGGCUCUGCGCUCCCUGAAACAGCAGCGGGGGACUUGAGUCUGACCUCCGCUCUCCCUCAGCUGCCCUACAGCUGAGGGGGAGGCAGCAAAAAGGCUCCAUGCAGCACACCCCGCCCCCAUGGACAGCUCACCCCACCCUGGCUGCAGGAUGCGCGCACUGCUCCCGGCAGCUGAGCAGCUAGCUACGCCACUGUCUAGAAUGAUUUCCCAUCUGCACAAACCUGCAGAUAUAUAUUUUUCAUGCAGACUGAAUCUGUUGGUGGUAUACACUAUGGAUGGUCCUCCCCCCAACCAACCCCACUGCAACUGAACCACAGCUGGAGCCAAGUGCAAAAUAGAGAUUUUGAUUGGAGGCCCAUACUUAGAAUUAAGGAAUAGAGCACCUUUGAUAGCAUCUCAGUCCAGGAAUCUCUGCCCCACCACCCAAUACUAGAACUGAAACAAUCCUUCCACACAAAAAACUGUUUCUGGUUCCCACCCAACCCCACUUUCUUCAUUGCACAACCUAACUGGGGAUGGGGAGAGCUCUUGCUAUUAUUAAAUAACCAGGAGACAGCAAUCCUUGGUGAUCUACUGCAAACCACCCAGAGAUCUAGUGUGUAGACCCCCAUCCACACACUAUGAAUGAAUUUUUCGUAUAUAAAUUGAUAGCUCACUAUAAAGAGAGACCUGCAUCUGCAAAUGAAGCACAAACCUUUCCCGCUCCCCCAGCUGUCACCAUUUCUCCCCAACUCACUGCAGCCCAGGAUACCCUUCUCUUAUCCUGACUCAGUUGAAAUAUUACAGGCUGGGAAAAGGACAUCAAAACUCACUUCAACAGCAAGGGCAGUAUGCAGGGAAAGGCACUUCAUUAUUAGUUUACUGUGACCUGUGUUUAUACAUGGAGCUGAAGGUGGCAUUCAUGGUUCUCCCUGUCAUCACAACUACGUGAAGGAGGAACAAGGGUUCCUUAAAGCCCUUCAGGGGAAAUUUUAGUCAUUGCAGUUGUUAUUGUCAUUAUCUUCACUCCCUCUGCUAACACAUUUAUAUCACACUUUUGCUGCAAGGAGCUCAAGGUUCUGUAUGCAUUUCUCGCCCUCACUAUUUUAUCCCCACGGUAACCUUAGGCUGAGAGACAGUCAUUCAGUGGGCUUCAUGGCUGGGGGGGGGGGAAUUGAACCCCGAUCUCCCAGGCCCCUCUAACCACUAUACCACCCUGGUUUUGCCACCACCAGCCACUUUGUGUUUCGUCCUCACCCCUGCUUUAGACAUGACUGGAAGAGGUGAAAGCUUGCUGUAGUCAGGUGCAGUUAUAUUCUGAAUUUCUUGGCCUCUUUCAAAGUACAGUACUCUUUAUCCAGUUGCUCCUUUCUGGAAUAUUUUUAAAAAGAGAAAUAGUUCGCACUCGGCCCUUUUUUUACCUGAUAAGAGUCUCAUUACAUCAAGAGUUUACAGAGCCCUUUUGAGAAUCACUGCUCCUGUGGGAGAUACAUUAGUCCUACUUUCUUCAUUAUUCUUUCACUCUAGGUAUUAAGGCAUUCUUUCACCCCCCCCCCUUUUAACAGCUUAGUAAGAUUUGCCUGUUCAGUUUAUUUUAAAGUUUUAAAAUGAGCUGCAGUAACCCAUUUCAGUAGCUUUCCCCCGAGGUCCCUCGCUAUAUUGCUUUCUGAAUCUCUGUGGGAGAGUUGGUGGAGUUGUCAGAUCAUUCAAGCUUUUAAACUCAACUUAAGUUUCUUUUCCUGGGGAAUUCUAGUGCCUCUUGUACCCUACGAAGAGAGAGCACACCUUCUCAAGGAAAAGGAUCUGGCUAUGUUUAGGCUGGAAAAGAGGAGACUGAGAGAGGAUAUGAUAGUCACCUUCAAAUAUCUCAAGGGUUGUCACAUGGAAGAUGGAACAAGCUUGUUUUCUCUUCUCCAGAGGGUAGGACUUGAAUCAAUGGCUUCAAGUUACAAGAAAGGAGAUUCCAACUAAAGGGGGAUUAGACAAGUUCAGUGGCUAGUAGCUAUCAAGGGCUACUAGCCGAAAUAGUUAGCUUCCACCUCCACUCUUGAAGGCAGCUUGCUCGUGAAUACCAGUCUCUGGGAAUCACAAAGUAGGGAGAAUAUUGUUGAACGUGCGUUGCUUGCAGGCUUUCCAUCAGCAUCCCACCAUCCACUGAGAAACAGGACUAGAUGAGUCUUUAGUCUGAUCCAGCAGGGCUCCUCUUAUGUCCUUACAUAACCCAAUUAUUUCAAAGCCUCAUUCUAUUCUGUGUUUUACUUUCAGUAUUCAGUAUAACCUUCUUCAUCAUUGGUCCAGACUUGCUUCAUGUACAGUUAGGGCACUGAUUUUUCUAUCAUGGCUGGAGUUGGUAUGUUCAGUGCAGGAGAGGCUGAACUAGUGCAGAUGGGAAUUGAGCUGAAACAGCAGAUAGCCUCUUGCACACUGUGCAUUUUUGAGGGGAUAGCUACUAAGAACUGUCCUGGGCAAAAUACUGGUACUGUCAGGUGUAUUGUUGCCUAUGGGAGCCAUCUCGUUGGUCUCCUUACACACAAUUCCAACAAUCAUCACUACUUCUUAACUCUCACAGAUUUCAACAGGAGAGGGUCAAGCUGAGGUUUAACCCUUCAACAUAAAAGUUGCACCUUGAAAAACUUUAAACAUGGCCCUUAAAAAGGUAAAGGACCCCUGACAGUUAAGUCCAAUCGUGAACGACUCUGGGGUUGCGGUGCUCAUUUCGCUUUACUGGCCGAGGGAGCCGAUGUUUGUCCACAGACAGUUUUUCCGGGUCAUGUGGCCAGCAUGACUAAGCCGCUUCUGGCAAAACCAGAGCAGCACACGGAAAUGUCAUUUUCCUUCCCUCCGGAGAAGUACCUAUUUAUCUACUUGCACUUUGACGUGCUUUCGAACUGCUAGUUUGGCAGGAAACAUGGCCCUUAGUAUUCCUAAAUUGAACAACAGAAACAAAUAAGGCUGGAAGUCUAUUCAGAACUGCAGAAAGCCCAACUCCUCACAAUGGGAGGGCACUUGUGAAACAUGUACCGAGGCACAAGGUACAAAAUAAGCUUUGUAUCUCCUUAUCUCUUCCCUAAGCCAUCAGCUGCACUGACUGCCUGUUUUCAUUGAAGGACGUUUGUGUGUGUGUGUGUGUGUGUGUGUGUGUGUGUGUUUUCCACUUCAGUUGCCAAAAAAAGAAAUAGUUAAAAUAAGUUAAAUCACCUAUUUUUGUACUUCUGAAGAGACCAGUUAAAUAAGAGCCUCUUGCUGACUGAAAAUCCAAGAGUGUGCCAGACCUGUGCGAUUAAGACCAUAUGUUUCCUAGGUGAUAAGCUCUUCAUUCCACACACACACACCCUUCCCUGCUGGAAGACUUUUGAAAUAGGGGAAAGGAAGAUUAAUCCUCCCUCCUGAGAGAAAUAAGAGUCCGUUGACUAAUUUUUUCAGCAUUUAGAUGUUAUAAUUAUGCAUAUUGAUUCACCCACUUUUGUUUCUUCACUAUAUAAUGAAACAAUUAAAGGGGGGAAACUUCAGUGAAGCAUUUGAAAUCUGAUUCUGUGCUGUUCUAUCAAAUGUGUUCUUUCAAACCUGAUAUCCAUUAUGCGAAGGCAUGGGGAGAAAUGACCACUUACCAUGCACACACAGAACCUUUUUUGAAAACCAUCUACACAAUUAAACAAAGUUCUGGCAGCCCAAGGCACUACUUUAUCCUAUAGUGGCGCCUUCCCUGUGGAACACCCUCCCACCAGAUGUCAAAGAGAACAACAACUACCAGGCUUUUAGAAGACAUCUGAAGGCAGCCCUGUUUAGGGAAGCUUUUAAUGUUUGAUGUAUUUUAAUAUUCUUUUGGAAGCCGCCCAGAGUGGCUGGGGAAGCCCAGCCAGAUGGGCGGGGUAUAAAUAAUAAAUUAUUAUUAUUAUUAUUAUUAUUAUUAUACACAGCAUAUUUCGUUUUACCUGCAUAAAUGUUGCACUGCUGGUUGAUGAGAUGUAAAGUCUGUGCCUUUUGCAAGGUUUGCUUGUAGAGGCACUGGUGUUUGGGAGGUCACUCCCCAAAAGAAAUAAUUCUAACACUGGGAAGUCAAAAGGCAUUGGUCCCAUUACCCACCCACUGUUUACAGCCCAGCUAUUGCAAAAAUGUCCAUUCAUUCCUGCUUCCUGUUCUUUAACAAAUUACUGUUUUUAUCCCAUAACUGCUAAGCUUACACAGAGGUCUUUGGUGAGGAACUUUGUCAAAAGCCUUUUGAAAGUCCAAGUAAAUAAUGUCUAUCACAGGACUGUCCAACUUCGAAAUGAGCCAUUGCUUCCUGUUGUAGGCAGAGCACACCUUAUUCUGAUUCAGAAACAAAGCAAACAUUUUAGAGAAAUGUGUAACCUUAAAACACAUUUUGAGAGGUGUUUUCAUCCUGCAGCAGCUGCAGAUAUAUCUUAACAUUGAUAAUGGCUCUCCAAAAUUUCAACAAAAUAUAUCUUUGUUAUGCAAUUCUCAUUUUUUUCACUUGGUAUAGUUUUUAUUAAGGGACGCAGGUGGCACUGUGGGUUAAACCACAGAGCAUAGGACUUGCCGAUCAGAAGAUUGGCGGUUCGAAUCCCCGCGAUGGGGUGAGCUCCCAUUGUUCAGUCCCAGCUUCUGCCAACCUAGCAGUUCAAAAGCACGUCAAAGUGCAAGUAGAUAAAUAGGUACCACUCUGGCGGGAAGGUAAACGGCGUUUCCGUGCGCUGCUCUGGUUCACCAGAAGUGGCUUAGUCAUGCUGGCCACAUGACCCGGAAGCUGUACGCCGGGUCCCUCAGCCAAUAAAUCGAGAUGAGCGCUGCAACCCCAGAGUCGGUCACGACUGGACCUAAUGGUCAGGGGUCCCUUUACCUUUACCUAUAGUUUUUAUUGGAUCAUUGGCUGAUUUUGGAUGCUUACAACAGAAGACUGACAAGAGUGACUUAAAUUACUAAAGGGGGUGGGUGGGUUGUAUUUCUGCCUAUCACCCUCUCUCUGUAGUUUCCAAAAGGCCCUCCAGUCCCCAAGAGCCAGUGUUCAGGGAACUGCAGAAGAAAGGAAAGUUAAGAUCCAAAUCAGAAUGUUCCUGCAUUGCAGUUUGUUUGGACUUUGGGUCCCUUCUAACUCUACAAUUCUAUGUUUACCUUACAAUGUGUGUUUUGGGUUUCACAGAGUUGGAUACUCAUGUUUCUCAGAGUUUCUCAGUCCUUCCUUUAUAGCAUUCAGUUGUUUUUCCUUUAUAGCAUUCAGUUGUUUUCCUAUUUCCAAUGCACAUCUGCUUAAACGUUUCCCCCUACCACUCCUAUGGGAAAAUUCUGUCAGCUUGUAUACAAAGUUCAAAUGUAUGCUUUCUGUUUGAUGGUUUGUUUGCAUGCCAACACCAUUAUUGCUACAGGAGUAGGAAUUUGAUUUCAGGUGGAGGGGUAGAGCAGGCAUAGGCAAACUUGGCCCUCCAGUUGUUUUGGGACUACAAUUCUCAUCACCCCUGACCACUGCUCCUGUUAGCUAGGGAUCAUGGGGAUUGUAGUCCAAAAACAUCUGGUGGGUCAAGUUUGCCUAUGCUUGGGGUAGAGGUUUGGUUCAGGAGGAUGGCGUGAAACAACUCUUGAUGAACAGUUCAGCAUAUGUACACGCCCCGCUAUUAGAUGAAACACAAAGUUCCAGAUAACAGAGGCACAUCCUAUUGCAUAACACAGUGGACAAAGCAGUAUUUCUGAAAUACGGUAAUUAUCAGUUCAUGUCCCAGAGGCGGAUUUAGGGCAGUGCGAAUAGUUCUGCUGCACUGGAUGCCAAGCCCAGGGGGUGCUGCAGAGCACCACAACUAUGACAUAGUGAACUGAGCAGAACGACAGGCCCUCAUGCCGGGCGCCACUGAAAUAUGAAAGACCCAAGUCUGCUUUUGUGUGUCUCUUAUGGCUAUCCAGCUUGAUCAUCUGUGUUCAUGAAGGCCAUGGGGUGGGAUGAGGAAGCAUCACCUUGUUUUUUUGUGGCAAUGUAAGUCUCCUUGAAGUAAAAGAUCUGAUGUGAAUAUAAAUUGGGAUUUUUCUGCCAACUAGUGUUUGGUGAAGCUUGCAGUAAUAUUUGUUUCUGUAAGGUGAUGCUAUUGUGUAAGCCGAUUAGCCUUUUGCUGGGGUGAAUUAGGCUUUGAUUGAGCUCUUUCGGGCAUACUCAUUGUAUGUCGUGCAUAUGACUCAUUGAACACACCAGAAUUAUUUCUUGUGCAUAAUUACUAAAUGUAUUUGAAGAGGAGACACCCAUCCUCCCACUUGCCCUUUCAGCCCUCCAUGAACAGUUGUAGGGGCCAAUAAAGUAAGAGGGGUUGGCUGUUCUUUAGGAAUCAAGCUGUUUUUCUGUUUAAAAAAAAUCAUUUUCAUGCUUCAGAGAUUGAAUAUAAUGAUAGUCACAUUGCAUGUAAGCUACUCUCUCCCCACCAUUUUACACUAAAAAUAAAAUAAAAAAUGACAAGCAUUUUAGGAGCAGUAACCUAGAUGACAGUGGAGUAAUGAUCUACACUUUUGUUGUGGUUUGUUUACUUAAUAACCUGCCUUCCUGAAACCAGUUCCCUAGACACAAUUCAACCUCUGUCUUGCCUACAUGUCCAAGUAGUUAAACCCAAUGAUAAGUGAGUUGAAAGCAAUACAAAAAAAUCCUUUGAGGGACUUUUGAGUUCAUUUUAUAUUGGAACAAAUACAGUGGUACCUCGGGUUAAGUACUUAAUUCGUUCCGGAGGUCCGUACUUAACCUGAAACUGUUCUUAACCUGAAGCACCACUUUAGCUAAUGGGGCCUCCUGCUGCCGCCGGAGCACAAUUUCUGUUCUCAUCCUGAAGCAAAGUUCUUAACCUGAAGCACUAUUUCUGGAUUAGCGGAGUCUGUAACCUGAAGCAUAUGUAACCUGAGGUACCACUGUAACCAUGUCAAGUUUGAAUAUUAUGAGAGUGGUAACUGCCCAAAUCAGGUUGCGCUAUAUAAAUAAGUUAAAAUGUUAGCCAUCACAUGAUGAAUCAUGCUUUAACUGCUUGAUACUUUAAUGUUUUGUCUGACAUUUUUAAUAAAACACAUGCAAUUAUAUUUAAUGCAAAAAGAUGCAUACAUGCAUGCAAAAGACUGCAACUGCUGGCAUUUCUUCAGAUUUACCAAUGAAUGUUACAGUUUCCUGGCUAACAUCAUAAGGCCAGUGUCUCUUGCAUUGUGUAAGCAAUAAUUUACUCUUGGUGAUGAUGCUUUGCAAAAGGAUGGCAAUUACGGAUUCACACCUGGAUUCACAAACACAGAUACCCAAAAGGUAAUGGUUUUUACUACAUUGUAUAUUUGAAAUAAUUAAGGAUAGCUUAUUCUCAGUUGUUCCUAAUUCUGUCCUUAUUAUUCAGAACUAAAGAUGCUACUGGUGCUGGAAGCCUACAGCUGCAGCAAAGAUGCAUAGGAAACUGAUACCUCAUCUGUGUCUGCUAUAAAUAAUGACAAAUGGCUAGGCAGUAAUCAGUAACUGCUUCUUGAUGGCAAUUUGGUGCCAUUUCAUUUUACUUUUUUUUCAAAAUUGGAUUUAAGGGGCUAUGGCUGAGAAAAAGAAAUCCUUGCAUAAGAAUGAAAAGGACUAAAAUGUUUUUUGUUGCUGGCCAGCACCCAAGUUCUGCCAAAGAUGAGCUUUGGUACCUGCUUGAGACAGGCUGCCUCAUCAUAUCUAAUGGUAGGACUGGCCCUGAGUACUAUGAUCUACUGUGCUGAACACUUGACUCAUCUCAUCUCCUUGCACUAUAUGAGAGGCACCUUGCUGCUGUUCCAAGACAGUGAUCAUCAUUCUGUACAAGUGCUGGAGAAAAGCUUGUCUAUUAUUCUGGAAUUAUUUUAUUUUGCAGGGUUGAAUUAAGGGUUGAAGUGGUGGUUAAGAAACACUGGUGUGGAAGGACAGUCUUUCCAUUUAGAGCUGAUGAAAUUUUACACUGUUGAAUAGUGUUUUUUUACUGUGCAGUUUGUUGGACUGAGGAGUUCUUGGAAGCAAGUGGGACAUAGAUGGUAACUCUUCCUCACUUGCCAGAUGCCACUUAAUUUAUUGCAGUCAAAACAUUGGCUUGCACCACCACAGGGUAAGCCUGCAUAGGUUUUGGCUAGAUUAGGGCUAGAUUGUAAUUUGCAACUCACAAUGGAUGAAUAUGAGUUCUCUCAAGUUAAGUACCUGUCAUGGACUGGUUGGACACAGAGGAGGUGGGAGGAACUAGCUCAGGAACCACCAAGGGAAGAAGGCUCAGAGCCUGGGGAAUGGUGGUGGAAGAAUGAUGAAGGGUUAAAGGGAAAAGACUGGGAAGAGGAGAUGUUAGUAACUUAGAGGUAACAGGACUUAGUGAGCUGGGAGAAUCUGUGGCAGAGAGAAGUCCAGAAUCAGAAACUGAAGCUGAUACAUGGGAGGAUGGAGGCCAGGAGUCAGAGAUGUCUGACUGGUGAAGAGUUACAGGUGUCUCCCCCUUCUGCCUCAACAAGUCCCCCUACCCUCUGUCUCCCAGAACCAGGAAAGGCAUGAAAAGGGCAGAGGAGAGGUUGGCUGCAUGGAGGCACAGUCUCUGAUUGCUUGGGGAAAGCCCUGGAGAGGAAAGGACUUAGAUGGUUGUGGGGAGGCAGGAACUUUCAGUCUUGGCAACUGACUUUCAUGGAGUAAGGCCACUGGGAAUGAGCUGCUGUGCUCUUUAGGCCUGACACUCGGCCAAGUCUGUGGAGAUUGUAUUUUUUGCUACUAAAGAGUUAACUCCAACUUUGAGCUGUGCGAUUACUGCCCAGCAAGCUUUGUAACAGUACCUAAGUUCCAGUCACAGGUGAGGUCAGAUGCACAUGUGUAGCAUGCUCCCUGUCUUUCUGCCUGCUUUCAAAUUUUCUAUAGGUUUUGGUGGCUAAUAAACAUCUUUUUCUGACAGGUGCUUGGAGGAGAGACCUUAUUGCUGCUGCUAUAUUAGCAGUAGUUAUUUAGUGAUUUAUUGUUACAUGUUUUUAGAGGAUUGCGUUGUUUUACUUGAUUUUAUGGAUUAUUAUUUUAUUUAAAAAAUCUAUUUGCUUUGUUGUAAACCUUCCUAUGGCUUGCGCAAAGGGUGGCAUAUAAAAAAAAGAUACAAAUUAAUAAAUAAAACACUUCAGCAGUAAAAGCUUGAUAGAGAAGGACAGAGAGAAAUAUGAACUAUAAAUGUUAACUGGAAAAGGCUGGUUUAGCAGCUGUGUGUACCUUUUCUGUAUGAAUGAGAGAGAGAGAGAGAGAGCCCUGAUUACGAAAUGCUAGAUAGCAGCUGUGAUGCACUUUGGAGAAGGAUUACCAGAUGGUUAAGUGAUUAACUUGUCUCCAUGGAGAUCACAGAAAUAAAACCAAAUCUCAGAGAUGUAAGGAACAUGCUAGGCUUAGAUAUUUUUUAAAAUGUAUAUAUGUAAAAUAACACAUAUAUGUGCCAGGUUUGUUUAUAUGCCUAUUCAAGAAAAGUAUGGCUGCUUGUUUGACAUACUGAAGACAGCUUCAGUAAACACUCCUGUCACAAACCUGUGCUCUUCCAUUUGGAAGUAUGAUGCAUGUUAUCAUGGGGGGGGGGGAGUUUUGCAAGGGGUGGGUGAUACUUCGGUAACAGAUUGUUCCUCUAGCAAUACAAAAUGCUGAAUUGUACAGAUGGGGUGCUUAAGUGUGUUGUCCUAACAGAAUGUUAAAGAUUAUGUGAAGGUUAAAAAUAAAUAUAUACAUACUAACUCCCCCCCACCACCACUAAUAUUCACUUAACCCUAUAGCAGCAACAGGGACGCGGGUGGCGCUAGGGACGCGGGUGGCGCUGUGGGUAAAACCUCAGUGCCUAGGACUUGCCGAUCGUAUGGUCGGCGGUUCGAAUCCACGCGGCGGGGUCCCAGCUCCUGCCCACCUAGCAGUUUGAAAGCACCCCUAAGUGCAAGUAGAUAAAUAGGUACCGCUUUAUAGCGGGAAGGUAAACAGCGUUUCCGUGUGCUGCGCUGGUGCUGGCUCGCCAGAGCAGCUUCGUCACGCUGGCCACGUGACCCGGAAGUGUCUCCGGACAGCGCUGGCCCCCGGCCUCUUAAGUGAGAUGGGUGCACAACCCUAGAGUCGGACACGACUGGCCCGUACGGGCAGGGGUACCUUUACCUUUACCUUUAUAGCAGCAACAAAAGAGAACAGCUCAUUUCUGAUCUGAAUUCAAAGUGCUGGUUUUUGAAAUGGCAGCUGCUAUUGUACUUUAAAGACCUGCAUAGUCUGGUUCCAGGACAGAGCUGGACUGCACACUUGCAAACGGGAAUAAGCUGUUGUGGGUCCCUCACACAUCCCACAAUCAAGCAUGAGCUACAAAUCUAUUCUAUUGGCUAUAACAGAAUUUGUUUUUCAAGCCAAACUUCAGUGAAGGGGGUGGGAGAACAGGAGGAGACCCCUUUGGGAGGCAGGGAAGGCACAAUUGCAGGGGCACUCGUGGGCACCAUGUUGACAACGUCUGUUGAAUGCUGCUGCUUUUGGAGGUAAGGCACACAAUAUUUUCUGCGGCGACACUAUCCUAAGUGGAGACCUGUGCCUAGACAGGUAUAUUUGCCCCCUGAUUGAAUCUGCUCAAAUACUGUAGCAUAAACAUUAUUCUUUAGGAAGACAUUUGUUUAGCUGGGCUGUUGCUGGUGCUAUGCUAAUAGGCCACUUCAUUUCAUUUUCUGUUUGGUUUCUGUGGCCUGAAUAGCUGAAGUCCUCUUCAUUGUAUCUAUUAUAACAUUGACCACCAUCAGAAUCCUGAUACUGAGCGGAUUGGUGAGAUAAUCGUUUUACAAUACAAUAUGUGAAUAUGUAAGUGGCCGGCCAUCCUCUGGAGGCUUAAAUCAUCAUGAUGGAAGGUGCAGGUUGGUGUUUGGAGGAGACUCUGGAGCUUGGAGGAAGGUAUUAUAUUUGUCAGUCCACUUUUUGGGGGGUGGGAAGAGGGAGCAAUAUCCAAUGUUAGGCACACUCGAGUUAAAAAUAGAACCUGACUAAUGGUGCUUUAAAAAUAAUAUCUGAAGGGCUGCCUACUUCUACAUGGCCCACUCUUUGAGCUCAAAACAGAUACAUCAGUAAUCAUAAAAAUUAGUAGUUGUGUGUGUGCUUCAAAAAGUAAAGGGCAGUCAGGCGGUUGAUCUAGACUGCGACCAUGGCAGUGUGGCGUGGGGACUGUUUGCCACUGCCAUGGUUCAAAUCUGGGUUGAAGAUUGGGUUGAAUAGCAGUUGCUAUUAAAACAAAAGAGGCAAUCUUGCCAUUGCCUAUUCUGUUGUGAUUAUCCUUCCAGCGUGGUAUAGAGAGCCAGCGUGGUGUAGUGGUUAGGAGCGGUGGACUCGUAAUCUGGUGAACCGGGUUCGCUUCCCCGCUCCUCCACAUGCAGCUGCUGGGUGACCUUGGGCUAGUCACACUUCUCUGAAGUCUCUCAGCCUCACUCACCUAACAGAGUGUUUGUUGUGGGGAAGGAAGGGAAAGGAGAAUGUUAGCCGCUUUGAGACUCCUUAGGGUAGUGAUAAAGUGGGAUAUCAAAUCCAAACUCUUCUUCUUCCACCUGUGCGUGGCCCUUUGAGGUCAUGCUCCAAGUGACAUUCACUUUCAGAAUAUUGUUAGGUGCAGAUAGAAACGGGGCCUUUUUUGUUGUUGGCAGUGCCCUAUUUGUUCAUGAAAUGUCCUUCCCAGAGUAACUCCCCCGCUUUUUUUAAUGGUUGGUCUACACCUUUUUCUAUGUUCCUCGUGCAUUUAAUAACUGAUAAGUGUCAGCUCUCCUGUCUGUCUGUUUUAAAUGCUACUCUCUUUGGCUGUUUUAAUUUUUAUGUAGGUUUGUCGUGAUGUGCACUGCUUCAGUUUUUUAUGUCUGGAUUUUGUUGUUCUUUCGUAAGCUGCCUUGAAGGCCCCUUUUGAAGCAGAAAGGUGAAAUAUAAAUAGAUAAAGGUUGUAGAGCAUCCUGCUGCAAAUGUCAGUAAUUUUAUUUUUGCCCUCUGAAAUUUAUUUAUUUAUUAUCAUUUUAAAAAAACCUUCAAGGCAAGGAUCACACAUGCAUAAAAUGCUAUAAUGUGUCAGUAUAUUUUUCUUAAUCUCUUGUUUCACAGGCAUUCUAUCUGUAUAGUGUAGAAGCUCUAACUUGUAUGCAUUCCCCUGCCCCAAAUAUUAUAAUGGUAUUUAUAUGCAGCCUGUUACACUCCAUCUCAUGGCAGUGUACAAAUUAAAAGUGCCAAAAGAAUAAAAUCACAGUAAUAAAAAUAAAAUGCAACUGAUAACCAAUAACCCAAGGGCAUAAUUAAUUAAUACGUGGCACCUAUAGCACAAAAUGAUCUUGAAACUUUGUACUCUGACAUAUCCUAUCUGAAUAAAAAAUGCUAUUACUGCAUACACUUCUGUUUUCCUUUUGUUAUUCUUCCCCUGUUUUUCCAAUAUUGUUGCCCUGUUCUUUCCAACAAUGCUUCAAGAACUUUCAGUCCUGCAUUUGCUUCUACAAAAAACAUAUGUUUCAUUCCUGUUCAAAGAUCAUUACUUUUGCCUAGCCUAGUCUGAUUAGUUGUACUGUGUCACAGUGUGUGAUCAAGCCAUGUAGAGGAUAGAUCUAUCAAUUGCCAUAAGCAGCGAUUGAUAAUGAAACCUUGACAUUCAGACACAGUAUACCCCUGAAUACUAGUUGCUUGCAUAGGUAGGAGAGAGUGAGGGAGUGCAUCUUCCUGCUCUGAAUUGGGCAUCCUAGAAAUAUAUAUUUGGCCACUGUGAGAAACAAGGUGUUGGACUAAAUGGACCCACCUGGCAGGGCUCUUCUGAUUUCUUUUGUUGUUUAUUGUAAACUUAAUGACCAUUAAGUUUAUUGGGCAAUCUUGUACAAGUCACUUUUUCACACCUAAUGUAUUUCACAGGGCUGUUGGAAGGAUAGACAUGGUAAUGGGAAUAGUUAAAGGGAAUAGUUGAAGUUGAUACCUAGUACAUUACAGAGCACCUUUUCUUUCAUGAACCUGCCUUAACUGUUGCCUUCUUCCAGCCAGUUUAUUGUGGUUUGAUGGUCUUUGUUAGUUCAAUGUUUUAAUGAUGAUCAUAGUGAUGUACGUACUUGCAGAAGCAGGGUACUGCUUGUUUGGUGUAAAGAGCACUUUCUAGUAUGUUUAUUGUAUGCCUUUGUGUUUUAGAUUUUUAUUUAUUUAUGGUGUAUUGUUUUUAAUAUUCGGUUGGAAGCCGCCCAGAGUGGCUGGGUAUAAAUAAUAAAUAAUAAAUUAUUAUUAUUAUUAUUAUUAUUAUUAUUAUUAUUAUUAUUACUACUAUUAUUAUUAUUAUGUCACCUUCAGACUUUCGUGGUGAGGCAGUUUCCUGCUAAUGAUUAGGAGAAGCUUCCUGACAGUGAGAGCUGUUCAGCAGUGAAACAUUCUGCCCCAGGAAGUGGUGAUCUCUCCUUCACUUGGAGGCAUUUAAGCAGAAGCUGGACAGCCGCCUGUCAGGUAUGCUGUACCUGCAAACUGCACUGAAGAUCUGGUUGGACUACAUAGCCUACAAGAUAACCAGAGAACUUUGCUUCAACAAGAUGUAGUAAUGGCAACCAACGUAGACAACUUUAGAAAGGAGUUAGAUGAAUUCAUGGAUGUAAGGCUACAGCUCAUGGUAGCUAUAUUACCAGUACCUCCAGGGGUGUUGCCAGGUCUCUGAAUAACUUGUAGGUAACUUGCAUGUGUUGAAGGAUGAAGGAGAGGAGAGGUUUUUUCCCCCUGUUCCAGGAAUCUAGUUGACUGUGGUCUUUAGAUCUGUAAGCAAAACUACGUCAUUUUUCUUUUUUUUAGGUCCUCUACCCAAUAACCUAGUGGCAUUGUUCUCAGUACAUAUCACAAUAAACUAUUUACGUGAGUGCGACCUUUGUUUGAAAAGGUUAACUUUUUAUUUUUACACCAGACUCUAAUUUCAGUCUCCUCAUGCUAAAAAUAUUGCUUUCCGCACAGCACUAAAUCAGCACUUGCAGGAGAUAAUUGAAGCUUUUUUGUCCUGGAUAUACUUCUGCAAAUAUGUUGUCUUUCUAGUAUUCAUAAUCAGAUUGGGUAAGUGAAGAGAGAGGGGGGAAAUAGUACACAAAAAAUCGAAUUGUGAAAUGUGACUAUUAGUGCACAAUGAUCCACUGAGGAUGAGAAAUGAAAAGGGGAAGCCAAAAGCUGCUUGAUAUGGUGGGUUUUUUGUCCUAUUCCAGAUACCUAAAGAAAAAAUCAGAACCUUGUUAAAGUUCAUGUUGUUUCCCACCACAAAUGCAGGCCCCAAAUAUCAUCACUUGUUGAUGAAAGUUGUUCCAUUGAUGAAAAUGAGAAAGCAAAAAUGCUUGUGUACUAAAAGAAGUUUCAUUUUAAUUUGUUUGGGGGAAAUCAAAUAUUCGUUUUUUAUAUAUAUAUAUGUGAAAGCAAUCAGGUUUUUUAAGAAAGGCUGUGGCCUCAUUCUACAAAUCCUUUUUGCUUGCUACCAGCCGCUUGCAUACAUCUAUCAAUUCCAUGUCAUUUCAUGCAAACCGUUCAUUGCAUGACAUUUCGCCCGCAAGUAGUUCCUAGCAAACUUUGUGUGUCCCCAGUAGCAUAAACAGUGAGAGGCUGGACUCAUGAUUUCAAAUUCAAGAAAUCCAGUUACAGCGCUUUGUGUUUUGUUUGUUAUGAAUUGAUGAUGGGAGGGGCAAUGUCACUUGAUCAAGGUUUUUGAAAAUGAACCCUCUCCUCCCUCAAGAAAAUAUUUGAAACUAUGGCUAGAAACAAUAAGCAAGCGACCUUUCCCCAAAUCUGGUAUGAAAUGGUAGUUAAUGAUGGGAGAAUGGUCUCUGGGAGAUGCCCCAGAGUACUGGCUGAACUACAAUAAGAUGUUUACUGUUCUGGAAGCAUAACACAACUUGGAUUUAUUUCAGUGCAUCAACAAAAAAACCUCCUGGAUGGUAUUAGAAGCCAAAUACAUAAUAUGGAAACUAUGUAUUUUGGAGCUGCAUUCAACGGAGCUAACAAAGUGGAUUGGCUCAGGCAUCUACUAGAUGACUCCUUCCAUUGGUUGUUAGAUUGCUGCCUUACAGAGGCAACCUCAUGCUUCUGCGCAACAGUAGUUCCUCUGCUUUUAUAUCUGCAUUUCUGUCCCUUUAUGGCAGAGAUGUGGAAUCUGGGACCCUCCAGAUGUGCUGCACCUCAUCUCCCCUCAGCAGCACAAAGGUGGUGCAGGUGCUUCUCCUGCACAGGGCGCCAAGUUGAGGGGGUUCAUCAUCACCACCAUCUAUAUAUGGGUACCUACCGAGAAGCUCCAUUAAAAAAGCAGCUGUACCAAAAGGAAUUAUUGUGAAAAUAAGAAAUAUUUUCAGGGGGGCACACCAGAUUUUGUCCUCGUUCAGGUCACCAUAUUACCAAAAUCCACCACUUGCUGUCAGCCCCAGCUAGCAUGGCUAGUGAUCAUGGAUGAUGGGAGUUGUGGCCCAACACCAUAGGGCAACCUAUCCCUGCUUUAAAGAAACUAAUGAUGACUUCAAAGGGGGAGGGCAGGUAUGAAGGUUCCAUUGCAGAAGAUUAUAGGGUAUAGGCAUGAUGUAAGAAAGCAGAAAUGAAGCAGUCAGUGCCAACAUCAAUUAGGUUUGUGCACCUCUGGUGAGGAAGGCAGCAUGCUUCUGUAUACCAGUUUGUUGGGAAUCACAGGUAGGGAGGAUAUUGUUUUGCUCUCGUCCUGUUUGCCAGCUUCCCUGAAUCUGCUUUAAAUGUAAGGUGCAGAUGGAGCCUACAGUCCGCAUAUCGAAAAACACGCAGAGAGAAUAAAGCGGUUGAGCGCAGUAGAGUAAUGAGAAUGAAGCGGCUCUGGUUCUAUUGGCUCAACUUGUCACUAAUCUGGUACAAAAUUGUUAACAUAGCAAAGCUGCUUAAAUAGAAAAUGCAAGCUUAACACAAAAACACUGUGUGAUUUAGAUGUAUUAGUACAGCUAUUGGCCUCGGGCAGCCCAGCACUAACAAACCACAACAAACUGAUCCUUAAGUGUAAUAGGAUUUGGGGUUAGGGUUAUUUGGACUAAUUUUCUUUGACUUUUAGUUUCUGGGUCUUUGGGGAAAACUCUCUCUCUCUCUCUCUCUCUCUCUCUGACUCUGACACACACACACACACACACACACACACACACACACACAACUAAUGGGCAGUUUUACAACUUCUGCAUCACUUGUUAACUGCAUUCAUAGCCACUUAAAAGUACCUUUUGACAUGAUGUACAGUGUAUUUCUCCUCAUUUUGAAUGAGGCAAUUGCUGGAGGACAGCAUUCUUCACUUAAAAUACUUGAAAAUCCUUCCCCAAUCAGUCUGAAGUCCUUCCAUCAGGCUGGCUCACACGUACAUACACAUUCUUCAGUGGCCACAAUAUCAAGUGAUGGUGAUUUUUAUGUGUGAAUGAGACAGAUAAAGCAUCCAUGUCACCCAGUAUCCAAAACAGUACUUUGAAAUGGUCAAUUUAUACCAGAGGUGGUUAGCCUGUGAACUUCCAGCUGUUGCUGAAUGGUAGCGCCCAUCAUCAUGUUUUCUGCUGCUCAGAGGGUAGGACCUGAAUCAAUGGAUUCAAAUUAUAGGAAAGGAGAUUCCGACUAAACAUUAGGAAGAACUUUAUGACGGUAACAGCUGUUUGACAGCAGAAUGGACUAGACUUGGCCUUUCUGCAACCCUUGAAUGGUACAUUUUGGGGCUUUCCACUGGCCCCCAAUGGCAGGGAAACCGCCAGUAGGAUGCCUGCCCACUCUUAUGUUGGCUGGCUGAACUAGGGGAACUGGAUGGAAGGUGACACUUUUGCCUAAUCCAAGACAAGCAACUCAGCAUAAGGGGAAUUUAGAGUGUUUUGCCUGUCUUUAAUGUGCUACAAAAACUUCUGUCUUGCCCUUACUUUUAGAGCAUUAAUAGAAUCCCCUGGACUUAGCGAGUCCAACCCUGGAAUUUCCACAUGAGUUCCUAUUCUGAACAUGCCUCUUCUUAGGAAGAGCAGUGAUUCAUGCAGGAACCAAGUGGUGACCCCCCCUCUGAAUAUGCAGAAUUCUACUGAAUUUCAGGCUGAAACAUCAGGGCCGCAUUUGCUUCUGGUCAGCCUUACGGGAGCCACAUGCCAGUGGUGGAUUUAUACAGUAGGCUAGUUUUCACACACACCUACUUCUCUAUCUUCCGCCUGUCCAGGGAAGAUUCAUUACCAGAGCUCAAGGCAUCCAGGCAAAAAAAUACUCAAGGAGCAUGCUCAGCAGGGCUAAGGAGGAAUGUGGGCUAGGGAGAGGGAGCAUUGAGAUUGUCCCAAGGGGGUUUGAGUGCUGCAUUUCCCUGAGGGUCCCUGCCCCUGUUUUUCUGUGCAUGUGUGUCUUCUUCUGAAGUGAAUUGCCCAUGCAAUGCAAAGACAUGGCAGAAUUGAUAGACUGAUGGAGAUUGAUAGAAAAGGGGUGAAGCCAGAGCUGUGAAUCGUAUCAUACGCAGACUCCUCUGUGGGUCUGUGCUUUGGCCAUUCCAGAGCCUCUCAGUUUGUUCUAUCUCACUAUCUAGGCUAGCUAGCAGUUCAAAAUUUAUAAAAAUCACAUUGUUGGACUGGAACUGUGGAAGUUAUCUAGUCUAACAAGCUACUCUGUACAGUUUGCAAUGUUACAGCAUCCCUGGCAGGUGGCCACCCAGCUUCUGCUAACAGCGAAGGAGAGCCCAACGCCUCCUGGGGCAGACUGUUCCACCUUUGAAUAGCUCUUGUUGUUAAGAAGUUUCCCCUCAUCUUAUGCUGAAAUCCGCUUCGCUGCCAUUUCUGCCCAUUGGCUUUUACAGCCCUGCACUGUAGAGCAACAGGGCAGAAGUCUGUUUCCUUUUUCUGUAUGAUGGCUCUUCUGAUAGUAGAAGGCAACUUUCAAGUUCCCCCUUAAUCUUCUCUUCUCCCAGCUAAGCACAUACAGCACUUUCAAACGUGUUCCUCAAAACCCCUCAUCUUCCGGCUGCCCUCUUCUCUUGAAAUACUAGUUUGCUCCCACAAAGUUUGGGAAUUGUUGUUUUAACCUCUUGACUAACUUUAUGGCCUGAUCUUCAGUUUUGGACUAGAUUGCACUGGCAGAAUGGUAUGAUUGAAUAAAGAGCAAUGGUGUUGGGAGUGUGUGUGUUUAAAUUUGGGAGGAGGAGGGAGAAUUGCACAUAGCAUCAGGCGCAAGGAGGUCAGUAAGGAAUGUAGUCAUUGCAGGGUUGGGGCAAUUGAAGAACGCAAUAAGUAGACAAGUGGAGCAUGCACUUUACGGCUUUCUGAUUUAGAAAGUGGGGGUUUUUUUCCUCAUUACAGUACUUCCUAAGUACUUGCUCUUUAAGUCAGACAGUUGUUGCCAUUAUGAUGUGGGUUUGUAGCUUUGUAAAACAAGAGUUUGUUUGAAGAUUCUGUAUCAGGCCUUUACUUAUUUGAUCAAGAACUUAGUGACACCUGGUGGCAGUCUUCAUAUUGCCUCACAGAAAGAUUGUUCAGCAAAUUAUAUGUACUGUGGGCUGACCCACUUUUGCUAAUAGAUUCCUUUUUAACCUUGCUUCUGUGAAAAUCAGCUUGUUUCCCUAAUGAAAGCGUGCUAACUGUAGAUAACAGCAAUAUGCUGCUAUGGUGAUACCAGCUGUCCUCAUUUUUUUGUCAAGAUGAUCCAGAAAAUAUUCUGCAUAUUGAAUGCAGAAUUUUCUCUCUUAGAAAAUUUCCUGAUUUAUUUUAAAAAUAAAAGAAUGUACGCAACAUACAGGAGUCCUUUCAUAUGAUAUGGGAUGUUUUUAUUGCAUAUACAUUACAUGGAACAUUUAAAAUAAAUCCAGCACUACAGCAUUUGGCAAAAAUAGAUGCUUAUUCUAUGUGAAGCUGGAGUCAUUUAAUAGGCUGUGAGCUUUCUCUGUGAUCUGGAAUGGAAGAAUGAGAAGAAAUUGUCUAUUUCCUAUUUACAAAUGAGAGCAUAUAUUCUUGUGCUGUUUUUGUUUUGUUGUAUUUUUGAGCACACAAGUUGAUUUUUCCUUUGCUGAAAAAUGUCUACACACAAACAAACAAACAAACAAAUCUGAAAAUAGUGGAAUAGGAAUGUUGGCUGGCAACUGCUAUAAAUAGCUCAUUCCAUGUUUAUGAUUGGCCAGGACCCUUUAUACAUGCAUAGCUUUUGCACCCCAAACCCCAUAACUAAAUAGUUGGGAACUCUUUAAAGGGGUGCAGCUUUUACAGAGGAUUGACAGCUUAAGGUCAGUAUUUGGAAAUCUAGAAACUUAAGUUGCAUCUUGCUUUUGGCUAAUGCGGCAAACACAUCCUGUUAUUAUCUAUUUGCCUUCUGAAAAUUCUUUACCGCCAGGAAACAGUGAUGCUUAAUUUUGCCAGUUAAUGAAGAGUAGGUGUGGAAAUCAGUAAGGAACAUGUGGAUUGGAGUGGAUGAAUAAAAUUAAUAAGUAAUAAGGCUGGCAAGGGGACACACUCACUUUUAAAUUUUGGUCGCGCGCAUGCACACACACACCAGAGGUGUGGCCUGCUGCCCAGAAAAUGUUACCCUUUCUCAGUGGCUGCCCUGGAAUGGGCACAAUUAUUGCACUGGAGCUUUUGGACUGGAACAGGAUCCAUAAAUGUUAUUCUUUCAUGAAUUACACCUUGUGUUAUUCAACCAGCAAUCCUGUGCUGUAGGGGUGCCUUGUACUUAGCUCUUUGCCCUGCUGCAGAGAUAUCUGCACCUUGUUCUAUAAACCACAUUCAGUUAUUUUGUUGUUAAGUUAUUGUGAUUAAAAGCAUCUCUCUAGCCUGCACCUGACUCAAUCUCUCACUUAGCUUUCCUUAAGAAUUGAAUUGACUUUGCUGACAAACACCCGCUCUACUCAGCUAUCUCCCCACCCCCCAAAAAAAAUUACUCUAUGCAUGGGUUCUGUGUAUUCUACAAUAUGGAAUUGUGUAUUUCCACAAGUUUUUUAAGUUUAAAUAUGUAGUAUAAUCUAAGUCAUGGGUUGUAGUCUGCGAAGGACAGCAGGACCAGCAUCAUUCUGCCCUGAAAAUGUACCAAAAGUGAUGGGGGUGGGUGGAUAGGCACUUGAAAGGAGUGGAGAGGAUUAGGAGACAGAAAAGCAGAGUGAGAUGAAGAAGGACGAAGCAGCGAGAAAGAGUGAGUGAGUCAAUACAAGGGAACAAUGGUGAGCAAAAUGGACCUGGAGUGAUGGUGGAAGGAGUCACUUGAAACACAAACGAAUCGCCCAGCUUCUAGCACAGUGCAUUGCAGUUCCCACAAGAGGCAGAAAAAUCAUCAUGCUGUCCCUCCAAGACCCUCAGCAGUUUUCAAGUGAUUUGUAGGAGAGGAAAGUGAACGCCUGGCUCUUUCACUGCAAUGUUUACUAAGCUGCUGCUGUAUCAGUGAACAGGGUUAACUGCAAAUGGGAAAUAAAUUGUCAGCAGGAACAGCUAGCUACCCAAAAGAAGAACCCCCCCCCAAAAAAAAACAUUUAAAAAUUGUGCAGGGGGGUGCCAAAGGGUGUGAUGCACACAGGCACCAUGUUCAGAAACCCAAGGGCAAAGUCUUCCGCUGGCUAUCUUGGAAUUUAACAAGGUAUGGUGAUUGUAGGAGAUUAUUAAAGUUACAGACAUUGCGGAAUAAGGAUUCUGCAUAUCCAAUGUAUUUUAUUCCCCAGAUUUCAAAAGCAGGUGACAUUACUGAGCUGUGUUGUUCUGGAGUAAUACAAGGAAAUAAGAGUGCUCUUAGAAACAAAUUGAGAAUUUUAAAAUAUAUAUUUACCCCCUUAACAGGGGCAGUGCUUUCAGAAGUGCUGCAUAUUCCCAAGCAAAUUGCUUUGUUGUGAUCAUCUUACCAUUUGAAGAAGAAUAAGAAGAGGAGGAGUUCGGAUUUGAUAUCCCACUUUAUCACUACCCUAAGGAGUCUCAAAGUGGCUAACAAUCUCCUUUUCCCUUCCUCCCCCACAAUAAACACUCUGUGAGGUGAGUGAGGCUGAAAGACUUCAAAGAAGUGUGACUAGCCCAAGGUCACCCAGCAGCUGCAUGUGGAGGAGCAGAGACCUGAACCCGGUUCACCGGAUUACGAGUCCACCGCUCUUAACCACUACACCACACUGGCACUCUAUUUGAGAACAAAAAUGCAUUGGUGGGCGCUCAGGCUUUAAGCCCUCGUCCUAUUUUUUGCUCUGCCCCCCCCCCCCGGCAUUAAAAAGAUGAGCUGUCCUGUUUUGAUAGGGAUAUUUAAUAGGAACAUUUUAGUUUGCUGAUUUUUAAUCAUCUCCAGAAAAUGUGUGAACAGAUUGCAGUUUUGCUGAAUACAUUUGAAAAUAUUUGGCUAGUACCUUUUCAAAUAAUUUAUUGUCCUGUUUUGAUCUUACAUUAUAUUCAUAACCUCCUACAUAUGAUGAAGGCUACCACACGUGCGCGCGCACACACACACUGAUACAGCCUCUCUCUCUCUCUCUCUCUCUCUCUCUCUCUCUCUCACACACACACACACACACACACGAAGAUACAUUUUCACAGCCAUCUGAAAUAGAAAGUGACAGCCGUGGAAAAGCAACAUGUCAUACAACAAAAUGUUCACUUUUGCUAACACUUACGAUUUUUUUUGUUAAAAAUCACAGCUUCUGCAAUAAUUCUCCAACCCUUUCGAAACCUUAGACCCUGAAGCCGUACUGUAACUGAACAAACAAAAGUUUGCAGUUUUUGAGGUCUAUAUAUAAAGUUUGAGUCAACAGUCAGAGGAUUCUCCGUCUUAAGUUUCAGACACUCCAAGGUACAUAAUGAGUAACGAACAGAAAUCAUUAUGUUCCCAGUUGUGGUUUGGGGGCAUCAUUUAUUGAACAAAGUGUGACACAUACACUGCCAAUUAAUUCCUAUCUUCAUGUUAAAACUGUCCAUCUUAAUCAGUUUUUAACCCAAUCCACAAAUGCUUGCAACUGUGAACGUAAAGAAGAGCUUUGCAUGGUAAGGUCCUGAACCCUCCCCCAUUGUAGAAUAAAGAGACUUGACACCAGAAUUUGGGUUAACGAGCUGAAAAAAGGCCACAACUUUAUUGACUACAGAAUGUGAGUGGUAUUGGAACCAAUAACUAUAUCUGACUCCUGUCCACCUGCCGGGAGUCUAAUAAGGGUUAACCACCAAUAGCGGGAGCCUUGUUGAUGCACAUUAACGAGGAAUUCCCCCAGGAUCACCGAUAGGGGUCGUGCUAUGGCCCUGGCCCCCAUCUGGGCUUCGGACAGAGGACACGCCCCCCCCGAUUCCUUUAAUGGAAUACCAUUGAAACAGGAGGGGUAGGUGAUGACCGCCACCUUCCCUCACCUCCCACCAAAUACUCCAAUGUCUAACCGCCAAACCUUACAAAGUUGUGACAAUUUGCUAUGAGGUAGGUGAAAAACCAAGUGUCUGGUGCCAAUUUGCCAAGUGGAAAAAAAUCCUACCAGGCCCCUUCAACAGGUGACCAACUGAAGUCCAUAGCAAGGUCAAAGGAUAAUGACCUAACCUUAGGGAGGGAGGGAGAACUCUGCAAGCGGGAGCGAGGUAAAAGAGGGAGCCUGGCCGCGGCUUGUUCAAAUGGGCUAAGUCACGCCCCCCUCGGCUGAUUGGACUGGCCAAUUUGAAGUGAUGCAGCUAGGAACUCCCUGUGACGCGGAGCUACCUAAGCCCGGCGUGACGGGUCGGGCUCAUGAUCUGCCUGCAACAUCGACUCCAUGCGAGGGGAAUCGGCUUUGCAGGAUCAGAACAAAGGCCUAUCUAGUCCAACAUCCUGUUUCUCACGAAAGCCAGCCAGAUACUCAUGGGAAACCCACAAGCAGAGCAUGAGCACAAUUGCCCUUUACUGCUGUUGUCCCCCAGCAAUUGGUGCUUAGGAGCAUGCUUCCAUCAUAGCAUUUAGUCAUUAUGGCCAACAGCCAUUUAGAGCCUUGUCUAUACACAAAUUUGUCUCAUUCCCUAUUAAAGUCACCCAACUCCUCAGCAUUUCAGGUAGGGCUGGGAAUAUUCUCAGUCUGAAACCAUGGCAAGCCAUUGCCAGCCAUUGUGGAUAGUACUGAGGUGAUUCAGUAUAAAGCUAUGUUCCUAAUCACAUUUAUUUACAUAUGUAUAUGUGUAUGUGUAUAUAUAUAUAUAUAUAUAUAUAUAUAUAUAUAUAUAUAUAUAUAUAUAUAUAUAUUUACAAAAAUUCAACAAGGCAGUGCAUACUGUACAGAAGUUGUGACAACAAUAACAAAUACCAGUAAAACAUCUGUUAAAUACUGCUUGGUCAAAAGAAAAUUCACAUCUCAAAGCCCUGUCUGUAUAACACAGUUUUUGAGUGAUUACUUCAAUAAGGCAGGCCUGGUACCUGACAAAUCUCUACUGGCAUGAAAUUCCACAGGGCAGAACCUGCCACACCUUAACAUCUUGUGUUAGUGAAUUCCAUAGUUUAACGAAGCACCAUGUGAAGAAGUUCUUCUUGCACUGUUCGGCUUUGUUGGACGACCUUGGGUUCUAGUAUUGUGAUAGAGAGGGGGAUGAAAACUCUCUAUCUGGUUUCUCCUCAGUAUGCAUGAUUUUGUAAACCUCUAUAUCAGUGGCAUGAUGAAUCUAAACUGGCACCAGUCCUAAUUAUCUGCAUCUGUGGAUUGUCACAAACACUCAUCCGGGGAUUACUUGGAUAUUUAACAUUAGUACUGAUCACAGAUCAUUAUCAUUAACACUUAAUUGCCCUUCUCUGGUCUUUUAAAUAUUAUAGAGCAGAAGGCUAUUAUCUUUUAGCUGUUGCCUCCUGGUUCAGCAGUUUGCAAACUUAACCAUUCUGCAUUCAUAGGAAAUGAGGUGUAUGCAUAUGGUGGUGUUUGUGUUGUAUUUAGCCACAGUGAUUUAACUGUGUGCUAUCCUCCUUAAGAAUUUUUAAUUUAAUUUAAUUUAAUUUAAUUUAAUUUAAUUUAAUUUAUUGUUUGUACUUGGCCACUUACCCAGUGACUGGGACCAUGGUAGGUUAUAGUUAAAACAGGUACAGCCAGAUUCUUUCAUCCCCAUUUCUCUAGAUUAGGAGAAACCCUGCUGCUAGGUUGUGUUUUUUAUAGCCCUGCCAGAGAGCUGUACAAAAGCCUGUUAGUUACCAACACCUGUUACCAAUGCCAGCAUUCAAGAAACAACAGGAAACACCUCACUGGUGUGAUUUGAAAAGGGGGGUUACAGCAGAGCUGUCAACGUUUCCCUUUUUUUAAGGGAAAUUCCCUUAUUCCGAAUAGGAUUCCUCGCAAGAAAAGGGAAAAGUUGACAGCCAUGGGUUACAGGCAGCCAGAUGCAGGAAACCUGAAAUAUACCCCCCCACACACCUCUCCACCUCCUCCCCAUUCAAGCUCAGGAUAUUUCCCUAGUCAACUUGUUUUUUCUUUAAAAGCAAUGCACCAUUUGUUUUAUUUUAAAUGGCAAAAUGCAGCAUUUUUGGAGUCCACAACAGCAACGCAAGACUUAUAUAACUCAAUAUGCCUUACUAAUGGUGUAAUUUGCUCAGACAUACAAAAACAUCACCCAAAUCACCUUUAUUCACCUCAUAGCUCAGGCUGUACACAGUGUUGGUACACACCUCUAAUGCAAAUACUCAGUGCUUCUCAGACACUCUGACCGGUGGAUAUUAAAUGGCCAGAGUAGGCUACAGCACAUUUAAAAACCAUUAACACUGCUUUCUGGAAGCAACUAGUAAAGUCAGAGGGAUCAGCUUUAGCUUCUUCACAUGCAAGCGGAUGGAUUGCAUGGCUGAAGUGAAUAAAGAAGCAAUUCCCAGGCUAUUUAUGGUGCACUUGCCUUGUGAAGGCAAAAGUGAAACUCUCUCUUUUCAAAGGCUGCAAAUCCUGUACCCACUUAGCUAGGAGUAUAUCCCAUUGAACUUAAUGAGACUUAAUUCUGAAAAGGCAUGUGAUAGGAUAGCACCCCUAUAGCAAGAUCUGCCAGGAUGAGCAGGGUUAGGAUCCAGCAGAUCUCCCCCUGGGCCAGGAGGAUCCCUGUGGAGCUGUGCUCUGCUGUCCCUCAUCCUUGGCACAGCCUGAGAUAUGCUGCCUGCAUUACCAUCCCACAAGCCAGAUGAGCCAGGCAUAGCAGACCCAAAGCUGGUGUGAGCUAGAAAAGUGGGCAUUUUGUGGGUGAGGCUAGGGACCAGAGUGGGGAGGGGGGUUCUAGGCUAGAUCCUAAGCCCAUUCAGCUUUGUCACAUGGUUGCUUUCCCUCUGCAAGGAUUAGUCAGCAGUGGCCCUACUCCUGAAUGGAGUUUGGAUGUUUCCUCUGACUUAACUUAAGCCAGGCUUGCUUUUUAUGCCAGUUCUUGUGCAUAGGAUUGCUCCCCAAGCCUGUUCAUUCACUACUGCAUUUGCUCCAAUAUCUAAGGGUGCAUCCACCUAAAAAGACUUUGAAAACAAGCAAACAGUCCAUGGGAAGUACAGGCAGAUACCUGGAGAAGAAACCCAAUUCCACUAGCAUGGCAGCUGCUGAUGUGCAUGAGAUACAAAAUGCCAUGCCUCUGCAAGAUACUGUGGAAACAACCAUAUCCCUGACCUUAACCAAGUAGCUGAUUAGGUGUCUUUUCUGAGACUAUUGCAGGAAGUGGGCAAAGAAAAUGGGUGCAGGCAUGUUUGUCUUCAUUAUGCAAACAUAAACUAUUCCAUUCAUCCCAGCAGGCCAAUUUAGCUAGGCCGUUACACCCAGAGUAAAUCUUAGCUACAAAAGAGCACAAUAAAUUCUACUUUGUCAUUGCAUGUGCACAGCCUCUCCAGAUUAUGCUAAUGCGGCUAGCACUUGGGGAGCUGGAAAUAUUCAAUGUGAAAAUCCUGUCUAAACAUUUUCUGUUUAUGUAAAAUAUCCAGAUAAGGAAAACAUUUGAAUAAGGAAUAUUUUAUUUGCUUUGCGUAACCUCCUGAUGAUGCUUCCAUUUCCCCAUAUGGAGGAAUACGUUGGUACUCUUUUCCCAGCCUCAUAAACCUGAAAGGUCUGUUGUUGGAGUCACAUCUGCAAGGAAGCAGUAUGUGUCUGUGGCAACAUGUAUACUAAACCAUCAAAGGGGUUAGGGCUUUAAAGUGUCAUAGAUUCAUAGCAUUGUAGAGUUGGAAGGAUUCAUAAGGGUCGUCUAGUCCUGCCCACUGCAAUCCAGGACUUGAAAGCACCAAGCUUCUGGUUAACAGCCAGGCACACUGACCUGUUGUGCCUUAUGUGGUGUUACAUGUGGUGGUACAAUUUGAGCUAAUCUCACAUGAGACCAUCUUAAAAUGUCCGUAACAAAGCAGUUUCCCUAUGGCCUGUUCCUGGUUGCUUUGCAGCGCCCUCUGGUGUCAUAUUUUAAUGACACAUUAUUAACAAGCAAAAGUGUCCACUAUCUAUGUUAUGGAAAUAAUUCUUUAAUGUUAUCAGCCAUGAGUGUAUAUCCACCUUGGUGUUGGGGAUGGUAUGGGAUGGGACAAACUACGCAUCAUGUAAAAAUACAUGUAGUGAAGCCCCUCCCCUUUUAGAAACACCCAAAAGAGGUCUGUUGGACCUACCAGAUAUUUGAGAAAUCCACAAGCUUUUAAUGAAAAGCAGCCAUAGGCAGCUGCAAUUCUGAGAGGAAGAGUGGUAGGGAGGGUGAGGGGCUGCUUAAUCCUUUCCCAGCAGCAGCAGCAGCAGCAGCAACAAUUUAUUUUUGUACCCUGAGCAUCUGACUGGGUUACCCCAGCCACUCUGGGUGGCUUUCAACAUAAUAUAUAGAAACACAACAACAACACAACAGAACAUCACACAUUAAAAGCAUCCCGAUACAGGGCUGCCUUCAGGUGUCCACAGGUCGUAUCAUUAUUUCUCUCUUUGACAUCUGACAGGCUGGUGUUCCACAGGGUGAUGUAAUUACUGAGAAGGCCUUCUGCCUGGUUUCAUGUAACUUCACUUCUUGCAAUGAGGGAACCAUCAGAAGGCCCUCAGAGCUGGACCCCAGUGUCUGAUCUGAACAAUGGGGGCGGAGGUGCUCCUUCAGGUAUACAGCUGUUAAGGGCUUUAAAGUUACACACUACUACUUUGAAUUGUGCUCAGAAAACAUACUGGGAGCCAAUGUAGGUCUUUUAGGAGUGGUGUUAUAUGAUUCCAGUGGCUGCUCCCAUCACCAGUCUAGCAGCUGCAUUCUGAAUUAAAGCCACCAUUGCACUCAAAAUUACCCCAUCCCAAUGAGGUUCCAUAUAUUUCUUUCUGAGGCUUUUGCAACUAGCAGGUUCAUUGCAUCUAUUGAACUUGAACCUCAGAAACAGCAGGUUCCAAGUUACUUACAAGCACACAUCUGGAACUGUGAGUGAGGAAAGCUGUUUGGGAAAGCAAUCUUUUGUGUGAAGGCAAUGGGUGGGGAAGAAAGAGAUGAGCAGACCUUCCCAUCUUUCACUGAAAGCUGCAGCCUGCUGAGGCUGCUUUUUUUAUAAAAAAAGAAGAAGCAAAACUGCCAGGACUUCAUUGCACACGCUUCCACAUAACAUGUAGUUUGCUCCUCAUUUGCCUGCUUUCCCACAGACUUCCUUAAAAUGGUGGCUGACAUGUGAGAUUAAUUACAGAGGCAAUUAAGUGGCUGUCACACAGGAAGAGCUUGGUUCCAUAUGGUUUGUACGGGGGGAGUCCGUAUGCAGCUCCUGAGACACUUGGGUGCUGCAAAUUUUAUCUUCUGUUGUUUUCAGAUCACAUGGUUGCAGGGCAACAUUUGAAAAUGUGCUGCCUGCGGCUAAAGUCUUUCUCCACCCAACUCCAAAAGGCUUGAUACUGCCCUUCUAGAAAGGACACGAAUAAUAAUCACAACAUGACUGUCCACUGUAACUGUAGAUCAGGCAGGUUCAUAAAAUGCUUACCGGCAAUUAAAAUACAAAGAUUAAGUGUAGCAUUCCAGCCAGCCUUUCUCAACCUGUGAGACCCCAGAUGUUGUUGAACUACAACUCCCAUCACCCCUAGCUAGCAAGGCCAGAGCUCAGGGAUGAUGGGAGUUGUAGUCCAACAACAUCUGGGGACCCACAGUUUGAGAACCACUGAUCCAGCUCAUGUUGAGUUUUUCCCCAUACGAAACUCCAUGGAUUGUGGUUGGCAUAAACAAUUGGAAGGUGAAAAAAAUUGUUUAGUAUUUCUAUAGGGCUUCUGUGCUGCCUACAACAGCACCUGGGAUUAUGAGAUAAUGGCAGUUUUAAGACAAAUUAAAAGUUUUAAAAUGAAGCCCAGUGUAAGAAUGGAAAUCCAAGCAAUUAAUCACUCUGCACUGAAAGCCUGUGUGCGAUAGAGGACAAUGUUUUGGGCUUUUCCUUGGAGGACUUCAGUUCACGUUGCUGCUCAGCCACAAAAUUUCCAUUGGUUCUUACAAGAUCUAUUGAUUCUAAUCAUUUGAGAGUAGCAAGGACUCUUGUACGGAAUAGAGAGAGAAUGUAAGACCAGUGGGACUUUUAUUUCAAAGCCUUUGGAGGGGCAUGUAACUAAGGAAGCCAGAUCUACGCCAGAUUUGACCAGUGGUCCAAAGGUUCCCACCUUGGUAAUAAAACCUUACAUGUUAUCACUAUUUAUCAAAGGGUGUGUGUGGCUCAAUUGCCCAUCAUGUUGCCUUGUUUUCAGUAUUCUCAUCUGCAGCUCGUCUUUAAGUUGGGACCGGUAGAGGCAGAGUAGUUCUGAGGAUGAAAGAGAAACCUGGCUACUAAAAGUGACGUGUGAAUGAUUAUGUAAACCCAUAUAGACCAUGAAUUCCCAAAUCAAGCUCUGGAAUUUGAGAUUUCUUUUUUCUUUCUUAAUUUUGAAUAUAGGAAGAAACAUACAGUCAAUCAACAGUUCCCCCCGUUUACCCACCCCCUCACGAUUUCUUAAUUUAGUGUGAGUUCACGUUCAUGACACAGUGACUGCAACACUAAAUGAUGGCAUGUGUCCAGGAGGCAGUGGUCAUGGAUCUGAGACAAUCACUCCAACCAGAAUACGUUUCAGUGGAGGAAGUUCACGCAGUCAACUAUGGGUUAAAGAAUGUUGAGUAACUGAAUGGAGCAAUAUACCUUCCUUUGUGAAUGGGCUCUUAGAAUGCCAGCAGUUGAAACACGUUACUCAUGUCAAGGGGCAAAACAUGUUUCAAGGAGCUGUGGGGUUUUGCUUUUAGCCCUGCCCUAAUGUUGCACAGUGUCCCCUGGCUGCUCCAUCAUGUUUUUCCAUGUGCUGGAUGAAGAUUUGCUGAAAGUGCAUUUGCUGUCCCUCUGAGUGGGAACCCUGAGCACACAAGGCUUGCGUAUAACAGGGAUUCCCCUAACAUAUGCAGGUGGAACGAGAAGGUUAUGCACUAGCAAAAAAUGCUCUCCCUCCACACACUGUCAAUCAAGUGGAGGCUGAUUUCCUAAAAUGUAUGCAGGCUUUGUGUUUAGUUUUGAGCCAUGACCCUCCCAGUUAUCUAGAGCAGGCAUAGGCAAACUCAGCCCUCCAGAUGUUUUGGGACUACAACUCCCAUCAUCCCUGACCACUGGUCCUGUUAGCUAGGGAUGAUGGGAGUUGUAGUCCCAAAACAUCUGGAGGGCCAAGUUUGCCUGUGCCUGAUCUAGCCAUUAGCUGUUGGGGUAGGGUGUGUGGGGCUCUUUAAGUAACCUGUUCAUUGGCUUUUGGGUGGGAACCUUCUUUGCCUGGACCAAUUCUCUGUGCUUCACUUGGCAUCUUUCUGCUGGGAGGAAGGAUUUGGUUGUCUAAUAUUUAUUCUGUAGCAUCUCUUGAGGUAAUCAUGUGAUUUGUUCAGUCAGACACAGAGCAUUGUUCCUGCUGCUUAGUGAUAACAAAUGGCAGAGUUUUAAUGUGCUGCAGAUGUCUGUAAUGGUGCAUCGGGACAUUGGAAAGCUUCCAAAGAAGGAAACCUUUUGCUACUGAGACUCAUGUGCCACAGGCUGAAGCCGGAAAUCAGCCCAGGCCGUAAUUGCAUACUUUGUCAUGGUGUAAAUGGAUCUAAAGCCCUAAAUCUCAAUUUGAGGUGCAUUGUGCAGAUGUUGGUCAUUAGGACAUUUUAUCUGCUGCUCUCGCAUUCUUUUUUUGCUCCCGCCUCAUUUGCAAUCACUUUAAGCCGUGAGGGUACACAUGGCUAUGAAUAAUUUAUUUUAAAGACAUAAUGACUGCCUGAGUUUGAAACACGGUUUUUUUUUCUUCCUGAAAUGUUUUGAUGUUAUCAGUCGGCUUGCCAUUUUGUUCAUUAGGGCAAGUUCACCGUAAUGUGAAAUAAAGGUAAUGUUAACUGCCUUGAAAAGACUCGCCGCAUGGUAGGGCAAGGACUGAAUUUACAUGAGCAUUUGGGGGUCGCUAAAAAGGAAUGUAGGGCAAGCUGCUUUAAGCUGGAGCAUCUGGAGUGCACUUUACUCAGCUGGGGGUCAGGAGCAAGAGUCUCGCAGGGCAAUAGAAUGGGAUAAUAGCACCAGUGGCAAUGCGAGGAUAAUGGCAAUUUGCAAAUUACUAUCUAAUUGAUUAUAACAAAUUAAGCCCUCUGCAGUCCUGGCACUACUUACUUUAUGCCAGCAGCUUUGCACCUCUUACAUCUUGCCCACCCCUUCCACUCUGCAGCACGAAACAUUCGACAGGCUUUUCAGGAGAUUCCUCACCUAAGUGACAGUCCCAUUCUGGGGAAGAAGAACGGUUUGGGUGAUGUAAAUGAAAGUACUGGUGCCUGCUUCUCUGUCCGACUCAGGAAUGGGGAACCUGGUGGCCUUCCAGCUGCUGUUGGACUCCAGUUCCCAUCAGCCCCAGUCAGCAAUCAGCGACAAUAGGAAUUGUAGUACAGCAACAUUUGGAGGCUCACAGGUUCCUCACUAGUGGUCUGGCUCAAUAUAUUCAGAGGCAAUCCACAUCUGAUGCUGGAGGUUAAGCAGCCAUCAUAGACAUUUGUCGUCUUAUCCUCCAUGUAUAUCUGCCUGAUUCCCUUGUAAAGCUGUGCAAGUUGGUGGCCAUCACUACAUAUUAUGGAAGUGAAAUCCAUGCUUGUGCUGUGUGAAUACAUAUUUUAUUUUCUCUAUACUAAAUCUCCUUCAGUGUUCCACUUCAGUUGUGCAAGAUGCCAUGCCACCUCUUCUGAGCAAAAAGAUUUGGAGCAACAGCUGGGUUUUUCUUCUUCUGCCGAAAGAAAUGAAAUAUGUCAAGUGUUCUUAGCACAGCAGCUUAGGAUGGUGGUAGUACCUGAAAAGGUUUCCUCGGGAAUCAGAAUAAAGUGGAAGGGAUGGGUAUCAUCCCCUUCCUAGGGUUGCUUCUAUUUGGCCUUCUGGGUAGGCUUAUGGGCCAACAGAAUUUCCUCCUAGGCUUUCUGAAGGCUGUCCCUGCCCCUCUCUUCCAACUCUCCCUCAUCCCUGUUUCGCUGUCUCUCAGGAUAAGGGCUGUGCAUGUUUGACAAGCCACAUCUAGGGACCCCAAUUACUGUGAGACUAGAGGGCAAAUAUUUUACAAAGGAACCUUGCAAUGCCAAGCGGCUGGCCCUAUUGUGGAAGCAGCUCCCUUUCUGAUGUUUCUCUCCCUGGCUCCCACCUUCCUCAGUUGGUGCAAAACCUCACCGUUUGCAAUUUCCUCAUCUCCCCACCUCACCAAAUCUGACCUUCCUUUCUGCUUCCCCCAUCACAGCUACAUUGGUGCCUUAAAUAUAUCAGCUCAGUAUAAACGAGCACUUAAACCAGAUACCAGCAGAGGGCAUAUUGCUUUCAAAAUAGGCUAUGUGCACCGGCACCUUUUAAUUAUAAAGGUUGUGCUUGUACGUAUUCUAAGCUUCUUUGCAGAAUAUUGGAGAAGCAAUUUCUUUACACUAUAAAAUGAUUAGGCUUGAAAACUCAUAAAAACGAAUUCUGUUAAAAUUAAAGGCAUUUCACUGCUAUACCAUUCAAAGCAAAUAGCACGGGAAUGUAGCUGACACUUGCAAAAGGCUUUGUGAGAAUUAUGUGAUUUUUGUUUUCCUGAAUAUGAAACAAGCACAGUGCUUAUUUAUGUGUUUAUACAUCAUGUGCUGCCCACAUUUUUAAUAUCUGGUAUAUAGACGUGAGACACAUAAGAACACAAGAGCCUGCUGGAUCAGUUGGAAGGGACCCCGAGGAUCAUCUAAUCCAACCCUCUGCAAUGUAGGAAUAUGCCACUGUCCCAUAUGGGGAUCGAACCUGUGACCUUGGUAUUAUCAGCACCACACUCUAACCAACUGAGCUACCCAGUGGUGAUGGUGCCAGUUUAGACUGUCUAGUCCAGAAUCCUGUUCUCACCAGUGGCAAACCAGAUGCCUGUGGGAAACCUGCAAGCAGGACCCAAGAGCAAUAGCAUUCUCCUGUCCUGUGGUUCCCGGCAACUGGUAUUCAGGUGUAUUACUGCCUCCAGCUGUGGAGGAAGAGCACAACUAUCAUGACUAGCAGCCACUGAUGUGCUUAUCUUCCAUGAAUUUGUCCAGUCCUUUUUUAAGGCCAUCCUAGUUUCUGGUCAUCUCUACCUCCUGUGGAAGGCUAGUUCCUUUGUUUAAGUAUGUGCUGUGUGAAGAAGUACUGUUCUUUUAUCUGCCAACAUUCAGGUUCUUUGAAUGUCCACAAUUUCUAGUGUUAUGAUAAGAGGGAGAAAAACUUUUCUCUGUCCAUUUUCUCCCUGCUAUGCCAUAAUUGAUCAUGUCACCUCUUACUGACCUUGUCUCUAAACAAAACAGUCCCAAACGCUGCACCUAGAUUCAGAUAUCUUAAGAAUGCCCAGGACUGUCAUGGAGAUAACAUAGCAUUGCACCAUGUUCAGCUCCUUAGAGCAGAGGUGACUAACCUGUGGCCCUUCAGAUGUUGCUGGACUCCAGCUCCCAUCAGCCCCAGCCACCAGAGCCAGUGCUCAGGAAUGAUGGAAGUUGUAGUGUAGCAACAUUGGGGAGGGGGCAAAAGGGAGCCACCCCUGCCUAAAGGGAAAGGCAGGACGAAAACACAAGCAAACAAUUGCUCUUAAACCUUGCUGCCUAGUGCAGUGGUACCUCUGGUUGCGAACGGGAUCUGUUCCGGAGGCCCGUUCGCAACCUGAAAAGAAUGCAACCCGCAUCUGCAUAUGCACGGGUCACAAUUCCCCGCUUCUGCGCAUGCGUGCUAUGUCAUUUUUGUGUGUCUGCACAUGUGCGAGCGGCAAAACCUGGAAGUAACCCUUUCCGGUGCUUCCGGGUUGCCGUGGGAUGCAACCCGAAGCAAACGUAACAUGAGGUAUGACUGUACAGUACUUAAGAGGUCAGCACCUUCCCGAAUAAGUCCAGUUUUAAAAUCCAGUCCAAUACAGUUCUCUGAGAUCAUCUGAUGAUUUGAAUAUAAGCAUGUUCAGUUGGGUUCAAUAAUUUCAGAUAUGAAUUCUUUUUACUAAAUAGAAAAAAAUCCACCAUUUUCCAAUAUGGCAGCUUUUCUCCAAGUUUGAUUUGAGGGUGGCCAGGGAGGGUGCAAGACUUUUUCCACAGCCAUCAAAUGAACAUGCCCUACAAUUUUCAGCUUAUUGUUCCAAAUGUCUGGGUUGGGCCUAAAAUUUUGUUAAUUGCAGUGGUUGAAAACACUCUUGCAUUCACCACAUGGAAGAAGGCCAACCCUGCUCCCUGCAUAAGUGCUUUUCAAAACUUAUUUAUGUCCUUUAUCCUUGCUGCACUUUAGUUGUUUUAUUUCUAUUCCUUUUUUGAGAAAGUUCUGAAACUAGACCUUCCCUGUGGUUCUGGGGCUAUAGCUUAAGAACCUAAUGAUUCCGGUUUUUGACACUCAGUCACAUACAUUUAUAUUUUUAACAAUAUCGUUCUUUCUAAAGAAUGGAUUUUAAUCUUAUAUGUUUUUAGUUUUGGAUUUUUAUAAAGUUGCAUAUCCCACCUUUCUAAUACAAAUGUGCUAUUCAAGGCAUCUUACGGUACUCAAAAUCACAAUGGGAAAAUGCAGCAAGAACAGAAAGCAGAGACUUAAAGCACUUCAGCCUGGCAAAUUAAAGGGUUGUAGGAACAAAAAGGUAUUCACAGGCUGACGGAAAGCAUUCAGAGAGGAAGCUUAUCUGAACCUCAUGGGGCAAGCUGUUCCACAACACUUGUGAAGCCACUGAGAAAGUCCUGUUCUGUGGACAGAACACAAGGCAGGACUCCCCCCCCCCCCCCAGAUCUAGAUGAUAAGAGAAGAUAAGCCCCUUCAAACGAGCUGGACCCAAGCCAUUUAGGGCUUUAAAAGUAAUAGUCAAUGUUUGAAUUGGACCUGGAAAGAACUUGUUAGCAAGUGGGCAAGUGAUGCAGGGUGCAUGUAAUAUGAACCCAUGGGCAAGCUCUCACCACAAUCCUUGUUGCUGGAAUCACUGACGUUUCCGAAGAGUCCUUAAAGGUACAGUGGUACCUCGGGUUAAGUACUUAAUUCAUUCCAGAGGUCCAUACUUAACCUGAAACUGUUCUUAACCUGAAGCACCACUUUAGCUAAUGGGGCCUCCUGCUGCUGCUGCGCUGCCGGAGCAUGAUUUCUGUUCUCAACCUGAAGCAAAGUUCUUAACCUGAAGCACUAUUUCUGGGUUAGCGGAGUAUAUAACCUGAAGCGUAUGUAACCUGAAGCAUAUGUAUCCUGAGGUACCACUGUAAUCCAAUAAUCUAGUUCAGAUGUAACUAAAGCAUGUGUUACCAUAGCUAGGUCAGACCUCCCCAGGAGCAGCCACAGCUGGGCAGAGGCACCCUUGCAACGUGGGCAUCCCAGUCCAAAGCUGAAUGCAGGACCCAGGACCCAGGACCCUGUGAUUAAAUCUUGUGCUGCACAAGAGCAAUUGCCACCUGAGCAAAAUGCCCAGGAUGCUUUUGAGAUGGAGAACAGACUCAAAGAAGCAACCGAAGGAGGAAAUUUUAUAGUAAUAGGUGACUUCAGUUACCCUCACAGACUGGGUAUGUUUUUAUUGAAAAUAAUUAACAAAAGAAAGAGUCUUCAUGGCACCUUAAAGUUAUUGUGACAUAAGCUUUCAUGGAUUAUAAAUUUGUUAGUCUUUAAGAUGGCUAAUAAGCAUCUUAGUUGUUUUUCCUGCAACAGAUUAAUAUGGCUACUCCUCUGGAAAUUUUUUUAAUGCCUUGGUGCUUUCACAAACAAAACAAUAAAAGCAACCUUAAUAGAAUUUUAAAUAUAUUUGAUUCUAUUGUUGUUUGGUUCUUCUUUUGUUGGCAGAUGCUGCUCUCCUGAUCUGCUAUGUCUUCUGCAGCUCCGUCACCCCACCCACCCAGCUAUGUGAGAAAGUAAUAUUCAACGUUGUGUGUCAGAGUAGGGUAGCCAGAGUGUUGACAGCACUUCAAGCCUUCGGCAAAGUUAAAUGGGCAGACAGGGUUAUCUGCUGCAAGCUUCCUGCCUUGCACUGUUUCUUCCCUAAUGCCUUUGGUUAGCAGUUGGGUUCAUUUAAAAUAAUAUCAAAGGUUCUGUUUGAGUUAGCAUAAAUAUUUGCAUUUCGUAGUUUACAUCAACUGAAAAGAUCUGGAAGGUUGAAUUAUGCUGAAUCCAUUUUGCUUUCUGUGGAAGCAGUGGAAUUUUAAUUGACUUUACUUCUCAUGUGCAUUAACCCGUGAGUAAUAUCUGCUUACAUGUAGAAUUCGAGGAGAAUAAAGCAAAUCCGUUCCACCACAUUAAAAUUACUGCUGGCAGGAAGGCCUAUUUUUGCCACAUAUUUUUCCCAAGACAACCCAUUUAUGAAUUUUCACAAAGAGAGGAUUAUGCCUCCAUUUUAAAUGGCUUCAACACAACUAGAUUUCGCUCCCCUCCCCCCCCCCAAAAAAAGUGUCAAAAAGGAAACUUAACUAAAUGCACUCAGCCAAUAACUCGUUUAAUUUAAAAGAGAAAGUGCUGGAGGAGUAGCUAUGUUAACCUGUUGCAGCAGAAGCAAAAAGAGAUUUGUGUCACCUUAAAGGCUGACAUAUUUGUUGGGGCAUAAGCUUUCAUGGACCAGAACUCUCCAACAUAUGAUCGGCAACUAUACUUAGGCCCUACUGAGAGGCACCAAAAGGAAUUGAACAACUUGCAGUAAACAUUCCUAUGGAAGUGUAUGAACAUAUUUCAGGAACUAGCACUCCCGCCAUGAGCCACCAUCAAGAAUCAUCUGUUUUCUAUCCAAACUCCACAGAUGGGUACCCCAUGGUCUCAGGCAUUUACAGAAUGGCAUUGACAGAAGCAGUAUCUGUCUUUGUUUGGUGGUGGGGGUGGCGAGGGGGGCAUUAAGCAGAUAUUCUAACUGCACAAAUUCCCUGACAGGCACUCCACAAAAAAGAAAAAGGCUGAGUUAUUAGCUCCUUGCUUAUACCCUGAAAUAGGACUGGCCUCUCCAUAGGAGUCUGCAGUUCCUAUCCACUAUACAGUAACCAACAGGAUACUGCUGUAAAUCCUAACUCAGUGGCAUACCUGUGCAAGGACCAUUGGAUCAUCUUGAAAGUUGUCUGUUCCUGCUGCCUCAUUACACUUGCACUGCCGAACGUGGCACUUCUCUAACACUGGACUUCUGUUUACACCAGGAUUGCCUGUUAGGCACAACUCAGCUGGUGGCUUGAACUGGUCCAUGUUACACUCUAGUCAAUAGGGCUUGCAGUGCAGACUUUCAGUACUGAAUGUUGUUAGCUCACAUAGGAAACAGGGUGACUCCUGGCACCAUAUGGUAUUGUGAGUGAGGGGUGAGGGGCAUAUGAGCCUGAGCUUCUACAGCCACCGCCCACCAUGAACCACCAUUGGAAGGAUUAUUAUUAUUGUUAUUUAUAUACCGCCCUAUACCCGGAGGUCUCAGGGCGGUUCACAAAAAAGAUUGCAAUAUAUAAAAUCAAAAUAAAAACAAUAACCCAAUAACAUCCACCCACCCAAAAAAAGAGCCACAUUUUAAAAGGGUAUAGGAUGUCGGUCUGGUCACCAAAGGCCUGGUUAAAAAGGAACAUUUUUGCCUGGCGCCUAAAGGUGUAUAAUGAAGGCGCCAGGCAAACUUCCAGAUGGGGAUUGGCAGCGACAGCAGAUACCCGUAUUUUUCCGUCUAUAAGACACCGCCAUGUAUGAUGACCCCUAUUUUGGGGGACUCAUAUUUAAGAAAAUGGGGAGAGAUGUAUCCAUGUAUAAGAUGCCCCCUAAUUUUUGACAUUAUUUUUUAGGGGGGAAAACCUAGUCUUAUAUAUGGAAAAAUACGGUAUGUCCUAUGAUAAUCUUACGAUAUACGAUAUAUGAUAUCUUUAUUGUCAUUGUCCCAUGCAGAACAAUGAAAUUGAAAAUAUAUUAUAUCUUGUUAAUUAUGCUGUUUUAAAUGUGCAAUUUAUAUUUGACUUUCCUUAGUGUUGUUUUCUUUUGAAAUGUUUAAGAUAAUUUUUGUUGUUGACUCAGCUGCAUUAGAAUAAUAUUUGUUCACAGCAUGGUAGAGUUGGAAGGGACUGUGAGGGUCAUCUACUGCAGCUCCCUGCAACACAGGAAUCUUUUUGCUCAACAUGGAGUUUGAACCCACAGCCCUGUGAUUAAGAGUCUCAUGCUCCAGUGACUGAACGGUCCCAUUAAAUGUGCAUUCUGUAGUCAACCUCCUUUGUAACAUUUUAUUUCAAAAUCUUUAAGAUAAUAUUUUGGUUUCCUGCCGAUUAUGUUGCUUUGGAUGUAAACUUUAUAUUUGACUUUCUUCCGUGAUGUUUUAUUCUGGAUUGUUUUAUUUGAUGUUUUAAUGUGUUGUAAACCACUUUAAGAUUUUUUUUCCUUAAAAAGCAGUAUAGAAAUGAAAUGAAUAGUAAUAAAAAUGAUAAUACAUAUGAAGAAAAAGAAAAGAAAGCAGGCUAAACACUCCACCUGUUUCUGACUAAAAUCACCCUUGUACAGUGUCAGACUUGUCUUGUGCUUGUCUUGUCAGCAAGGAAGUCCAAAAAUUGUCUCCGGCAUCUACAGUUGUUCUCUGCCCUUGAGUGUCUUCUUGCUCAGUUCUUCCAGUGGUUUGCUGCCGAAUCGCACCAAACAGCAAUCAGGUUUUCUGCAUAUUGCUGUUUGUUCCAGUUCAGUGGCAAAGAGUGGUUUUUUUCUGGGGGAAGGUGAGCAGUGUAAAUGUAAAACUACUUGGACCCAUACUUUCCAGGCACAGGAUAAGCAGACUUGAACAUAUUUCAGGAACUCGCCCAAUGUACUGAUACUUAGCCUUACAUGAUUGAGGGUGCAGCCACACUUCUAUUCACACACACAUUUCAGCUCUGAAUCAGAACUCACAGCAACUACUCAGGCCUGUGCCUAGAAAGCAAGGAGCAAGUGGGAAACCGCUCAGACCCGUGUUUUCUACCCACAGUACAAGAAGAAGAAGAAGAGUUUGGAUUUGAUACCCCGCCUUUCACUUUAAGGAGUCUCAAAGCGGCUAACAUUCUCCUUUCCCUUCCUCCCCCACAACAGACACCCUGUGAGGUGAGUGAGGCUGAGAGACUUCAGAGAAGUGUGACUAGCCCAAGGUCACCCAGCAGCUGCAUGUGGAGGAGCGGAGACGCGAACCCGGUUCCCCAGCUUACGAGACUACCGCUCUUAACCACUACACCACACUGGCUCUACGAGCGGAAGUAUAGACAACACCUUAAAAAAAGAAAAGGAAAAUCCAACUCAAAGCAGCAAUAAGUUGCUUCUGCAGCCAGGUGAAGUCAAAGCAGAAUGAGAUUGGUAGUUUUGUUCAUUGUGCUCCACAAUCAGAAGGACGGUCCUCUUAGUUCCCUGUGCUACAGCAUUUUGCAUUGUCUGCAGAACCAAGAUGCCAAUCGGCGGAGCAUUUUCAGAGGGAUUUUAGAUGGUCUGUUUCAGACUCAGUCUAGGCCUGUGAUUCGCCUGGCCAAUUUGAAAUUAGGGCACAGAGGAGUUAAGUGAGCAAUCCAAAAGGGACUGAUCAAUGAGUAGUAGUUCUCAUACCCAGCUGAAGUUCUCUCUGUCUCUCAUAUUUUUGUGUAAUAUUAUAUUUCUUUUUCUAUUCUGCCUUUUCCCCAGACUGGGACUCAAGGUGUUUUACAGAUAAAAAUACAAUGCUGGGGUCAGGAGAGUGACCCAAGCAUACUGGGUGCUGCUGACCAGCACUCUCAGUCAAACGUGAAACAUCACAGAUUUUCUGAGGGAACCGAAGCUCAUUCGUGAUUUCCAAGAAGGCAGUAUCCUGGCAGCGAUAGAAAUGGAAGUUCUAUGCACCGAUAUCCAAAACAGUGGUGCGCCACAAGCCAUCAAAGAAGUUAAAUACUUGAUAGUAUCGCAGCCCACCUGUCAGCUGAGCUUCCCGAUGUCUUCUGACAGUUCGUCUCUUCAGAUCAGUGAGGCUUUCGCCAAACUCUCAUGUUUCAGUAUCAGCCACAUAAUUGCAUUUCAGUUACAUAAUAGGCAGAAGAAAAAGAAUCAUUACCGCAGCUGUCUUUGAUGUUAAUAAAAUUGUUGCAUUUAAAAUAUGUACAUUUAUCCUGGCAGUAAGGCAAGAGAGUGAAAACACCUUGUGAGCUGGCAGGUUUAUGGCAUCACACAUUGCAUUCUUCAACCGCUGCUGAUUAGUCUUCUGCUCUUCCUCUGUGGUUUUUUCUUUUUCGCUGUUUGGAAUAGCUCCCCUAUCAUGAGACAGGCCUCAAAAUCUAGUCAAGCCCUUAAGGCGAGCAAGCUGAAGUCUUUAAGAUGGGAGGGAGAUGAGGUAUUUGUUCCUUCAGCUACAAUUACUGAGCUGGACCACUUUGUCUCUCUCUCUCUCUCCUGCCUUUCCUGAUCAAUCUGCUGUUGGCUUUUGUAGGCCAAGAAAUCAGCAGGCCUCUCUACGAUGAGAAAGUUGCAGCACUUAUUUGGGUGGGAGAUGGGAGCCUUCCGAGUGACAGCAGGGCUAUAGAAAGAAAGGACAGAGUGAAAAGCCAACAGAAUAGCAGCAGAUUUCUGAUAUCAGUAGCUGAUAUAAUCCUGACAGUCGAUACAGUGGCAUUUGCAGGGCAGAGACUCAUGGAUUUGAUAGUAACUCAGCCACAGAUUCCUGUAACGGAUGCACAACAUGGGCACACUGCAAAAUUACAUUGCAAAGUAACGAAUUCCUGUAUUGCAGGGGGUUGGACGAGAAGUUCCCUUCCAAGUUCCAACUUUACAAUUCUGUGAUUCUAUGGGCAAAAUACAACUAGAGCUGUAUCACUGAGCCAAUUCAGUCAGUUUAUUGGAUCACUUAAAAGACCUCACGAUCAGAUUUAUAUAUCUGAUAACAUACGAACAUAUAAAAAUGAGAUGUGAAGAGCAAACACCUCUACUGACAGGUUACAUUUGUUUGGAAAAGAUUGUAGUUCAUGUCUUCAUUGGUCUCAAAAGACUAUCAUUUAUACUAAUUCAUCUAAAUAAUUAACCAUAUUUGAAAUAUAUUUUCUUGCCUUAAUUUUUCCAGUUUUUUUUAUUUGCAAAAAUAACAGGAAAAAAACAAAACAAAUAAUAUAAUAGUAGUGAUAAAACCACAGCAAAUAAUAAUAAUAAUUGCAAGCUGACCUUAACAAUAAGAGUUAUUCCAUAAAUCCUCUUUUAAUUGUAUUUAUUCAUAUUGGCAGUCCAAAUAAGGAUCAAAACAAAAUUGAAAUAAGCAAUGCAUUCAAACUUUAAAAGGCUGUUAACUGACAAGAAUAAUGUUUUACAAUAAUAAUUGUUAGUUUUAUUUAAAAUGAUAAUCUGAAAACUUAAAAUAACUUCAGGCAGUGACAGAACUUUACAGAGCUGUAUGAAGACUAUAUAGAGUUACUGCCUUUGAUCUUUCACUUUGUUUUCUGCAGACUGAAAUAAGAAAUGUAACUUAAUAUAUCUUUAAAAAUGAAAAAUGAGCAAUUAAAAUUAACAUUUUCUUUUGGGAUGUAGCAUUUCCUUUGUAACAAUGGAUCAUACUAAUUAUCAAAGUGCUUUAAAUAGCAUCAGUUAUGCUUACGCAGUUCUGUCCAGUUAUUGAGUUCACCUCAAGGUUGGAUAGUAUAUAUUCAGUUAAUUAAAGUUGGAAAAAGUAAUGAGUAAGUGUAUAAAAUUGAGAGAGAGAGAGAGAGAGAGAGAGGGAAGAAAGGGUAUAUUUUUAAUUAGACAGUACAAUGUGCAGAUUGAAGUUGCCAUUACUUAAAAAUAGCCACCGGAUUUCAAAAUACAGUUAUAGCUAGACAUGAUUAUUUAAUGAAUAGAUUCAUACAUCCAUACAGUAGCAAAGAGACAAUACAGAAUACAGUAGCAAAGAGAGAAUAUGAAUACAGACUUCCGGGUUGGCGCCUCCAGGCAAUGGCGGAGUUCCUCCUAUCGGGAGGAAUUUGCUCUGCGGAAAUUAGGGUCUGACUGCCACGGCGAAGGCGGAGACCCACUGAAAUCACAGGCGGGAGAAGCCUGUGAACUUGGGAUUCGGCUGGCACCCUUUGCGCCUCCCCUACUCGCGGAGAAACCCUGAUUUGGGGAUCCAGAGCGAAGUGGGGUGAGUGGCGCAGUGCUUCGAAUUGACUGCUUCUUUCACGGAGUGAAGCCGCAUCGCUGUUGCCAGAGAGCGCUGAGUUUUUCCUGUGGACAAUUGGAUUUUAAGCAACUACCCGUGAGUAGAACGGAAAAUUAGAUCCUUAAAUUCAUUAAUUUGGCAUCGAAACGGGAAGGUUCUAAACAGGAAGUCCGCCUUCCUUUUUUGUAAACAGAUUGAAGCAAAGAAGUUGCAAGUUAAAGCCUUGGAAAGUUUAUUUUUGUAAAGGAUUAAAUCUCCAUCGGUUAAAACUAUUAAACCCCCCUUGGAAGCAGGAGAAGAGGGGGGAAAUUUUGGACCUAGUGAGCCUGCAGGAGAGAGUGAAAAACCAAAUUACCACUGCUCCGAACCUGGAAACGGGCUGCCAGAAAGAGUGACGUUUUUUGACAGCUAGCAAUAAGAGAAAUAUAUUGUUUCCAUUGUACUCAUCUGCGUUAAAAAAGUAGGAAAAGAAACUAACUUUAUUGUUUAAAUUGUGUUUGAAAGGAUUGAUACAAGUGGAGACUGUUUCCCUCUAGAGGGAGCUUUUGAAACUGUUACAAGAGUGGAGCUGUGGUUUUUCCAGUCGCAAGAUAAGAACUGUGUGAAAUAGAGAUUGACCUUGGACUUUAAGAAUGUUGACAGAAGGAGCCUUAGUGACUGUAUUAUGUAAGAUAAGCUAUUCGUUGGAACAGCUCCACAAGAAGACGGAUGCUAUGAAUACCAAACUUGAGAACUUGGGACAAAAAGUGACUAAUUUGGAACAAAAAGUGACCAUUAAUACAGAAAUUGUUCAGGAUUUGACACAGGAACCUACCUUGACAGGACAAACUGGGGAGAAGACGAAGGAGAAUGUUGGUGUUGUUAAACCUAAAAUAAUACAAGUGGAAGCCCCAGUUUUACCGAGGCAAACUGAGGACUAUAAGUGGAGGCCUUUUAUGAAUGAAUAUAGAAAAAGUCAGAAUUUGAAGACUGGAGCCCUGUUUGGAUUGAAGAAGGAAGGUUGGAUAGACUCUUUCAAGCAGAGAUUUACUGACCUUUGGGUCCUGAAUCUGGGUCAGGAGGUGAUUGGAGUUGUGGGGGCCUUUGGAUCUGGAGGAGCCUUGAAACAUGAUUUGAGACAUUGUAUGGACACUGGUUUUAGCUGUGGAGAGUUGGUUGGUCUGUCGAGAGGGAAUGGGGGCAUGGUUGGAUCGGGGCCCCUCCAAGACCUGCGCUUCAGCACCCUCAGUAUCAAAGAAUAUGAAGAAAAACUGCAGAAGGUACUUGGAAAAGAUUUAAGAGCCUCGGACAGAAGAUCUCCAGGUUGAUGAACUAUAUGGAAUGGACGGAAAUGACUGGCAGAAUCCGAGACCAGGGAGAAGAGAUGGUGGUAGAAGAUUGGGAAAGUUUAAAGUUUAUAUAUAGAAAUAUUGUAAAUUUAAUGAGUGUUAGAAAAUUGUUGGAAUGAAAUUUUAUGGCUUUAGCAGAAAUGUUAUAAGGAGUUAGGUAUAAAUAAGUAUUUCAGUAUUAAUGGAAAAUAAGGUACAAAAUAUGUUAAGAUAUUCAUAAUGAUAAAAAUAGAGAAAGAUGGAAAGGAAUUGCUGAAACAAGUAAUAGAAGUGGAAUACAAAAGGGAGGUGAGAGGAGGUCGAUGAAAUAAGGGAAUGAAAGAUAGAGUAAUGAAAUGGUAUGGUAUAUGUUUUUAAAUUGUUGUUCUUUUGUUUUGUUUAGGUUAAUGUGUUAAGGUUGUGUUUUGUAUUGUUUAUUGUAUUGUUUUUUCUUUUCUCUCUCUUUUUCUUCUUCUCUGUUCUAUUUUGUCUUUUUCUUUCGCCUAUUUUCUUCCUUUUUCUUUUCUUGUAAGUUUUAAAAGCAAUAAAGAUUAUUUUUUUAAAAAAAAGAGAUUAUGAAUACAGAGCAGACUCCAAAUAUAAUAAAUAAAUAAAUAAACAAUAAAAUCUUGAAUGGAAAAGACCCUAGGUCAAAUAAGUAUUUUGUAGUAGUUUGUUUUUACAUUUGCAUCUUCAUAAGAUGCCAACAUAGUUAUUAUGGGGACAUUGUUAUCUGUAAAUCAGUGAGUCCAUGAUCAAAAUUAAGUGGCUUGGAUUUGAAGGUGCCCUUCUGCUAGCAGAAGGCCUUUUCUGAACAUGGAAUGAUUGUUCCUUGGCUCAACAAAGUAGUGUUGUAGGAAGAAAGUGACCACAAACUUAAGGAAGUUGCACGAAUCCUGUGGACCUUCUUAUGGCCCAGUAGAGUUAGCAUCCUAAAGUUGGUAUUUUCCUUGUUCGCUACGUUCUGGUACGUUUUGACACUUCGCUGCAAGAAUUCUUCUUCCUCUUCUAGUGCUUGCGCAAUAGCUCGCCAAACCGCACCAACACAACAUUUUCUCUCUGUGUUCAUAGUUCUUUGGAUCCUUGAUCAGAUUUAGGAGUGGCCAAACCCUCAUAGCUGCUGCUUAGAGUUUAACCAGUUUAGUUUAAUGCCGGUUGAGAUGGGAGUCUACUUAGGUUUAUCCAAUUAUUCCUUCAAAUUGUUAUCUAUGGAAUAAGCAAGGGUACCAAAACACGACUCCAAGAAAAAUACCAUUUUGUAUUGUCAUGGCAUCAGAGGACCAUUCACUUUCUCCAGUUGCACAGAUUUCUCCCAAACUUGCACUUGUGUUCCAGUUUGUCAGCUGACAUGUUUUUAAACAAUCUCAUUUGACCUUGCUGGCUAAUCUGAAAUAAAGCAUUUGGUUCCAAAUGAUAAAAUGCGGUCAUUGUUAUGAAAAGUACUUAUCGGAUAUUACUGAACUUCUAAUAAGAAGAGGUUCUUUAUCCUAAUUAGUUUUGAACAGUUGCCCUCCAUGGAAAAGGAUGGUCAUAUAAAAAGUGUUCCUUAACUCCAGAGACAUGGUGCAUCUGGUGUUGACUCAUUAGAAGGAAAUUCUAUUUUUCAGUUUGUUUUGAUUGCCCCAUUUACAAGGAAUCAACGAUACAUAUCUAGAAAAAGGGGCACUGCUGAAAUCAGAGGAAAAAAACCUUCUGCUUCCAAAUAGUGGUAAGCAGCAAGAGAAAGAAAAAUGCUCCAUUUUUCCUCUUGCAGUGGCAAAAUUAUGAAAUUUUUACAGGAAAAACCAUUAUAUAGAUUGUUAUCUGGAUAACUGAGAAUCUCAUUGCUUGUUUUUUAUGGUUUUUUGCUGCUCUUGUUAUAAGCUAACAUAGCUAUAGGAUUUUAUUUAUUUGUUUAUAUGAUGAUUUUAUCUUGUAAAGAUUAAAGCUCAAAACAAUAAAAAGGUAAUUAGUUGAGAAAAGCAGUAAGCAGAGUAAAAAGAAAGUACAACAAGAAGUACAAACAAUGUAUAGACUACAGUUGCAAUUCAUAGAAUCACAGAAUCCUAGAAUUGGAAGGGACUCCAAGGGCCAUCUAGUCUAACCCCCUGCAAUGCAGAAAUCUUAACUAAAGCAUCCAAGGCAAAUGGCCAUCCAACCUCUGGUAAUAAUUAAGGUACAAAACUACAUAAUAUUUCAUCAUCAUCAUCAUCAUCAUCAUUAUUAUUAUUAUUAUUAUUAUUUGUGUGUGUACAGUCAUACCUCAGGUUACAGACGCUUCAGGUUGCGUUUUUUCGGGUUACAGACCCGCCGAAACCUGGAAGUACCAGGAUGGUUACUUCUGGGUUUCGGCGGUCACGCAUGAGCAGAAACACUGGGUCACAACCCGCGCGUGCACAGACGCACUGCUGUGGGUUGCGAACGCUGCGAGUUGCGAACGUGCAUCUCGCACGGAUCACGUUCACAACCGAAGCAUACACACACAGACUUGUUCCUACAGUGACAAACACUUUAACGGGCUGUGGUAAAAUUAAGCAGGCUGUGUUGAACAAUGAUCAUGAAGGUAGUAAAGGUAAAGGGACCCCUGACCAUUAGGUCCAGUUGGGACCGACUCUGGGGUUGCGGCGCUCAUCUCCCUUGGCGCUUUAUUGGCCAAGGGAGCCGGCGUACAGCUUCCAGGUCAUGUGGCCAGCAUGACUAAGCCGCUUCUGGCAAACCAGAGCAGCUCACGGAAACGCCGUUUACCUUCCCACCGGAGCGGUACCUAUUUAUCUAGUUGCACUUUGAUGUGCUUUCAAACUGCUAGGUUGGCAGGAGCAGGGACCGAGCAAUGGGAGCUCACCCCGUCGCGGGGAUUUGAACCACCGACCUUCUGAUCGGCAAGUCCUAGGCUUUGUGGUUUAACCCACAGCGCCACCUGCGUCCCAUGAAGGUACUUAAAUAAGAUUGUGUGCUUGCCUGCCCCUUUUACACUACAAGUGACUAUGACACCUGAUUGGGAUUAUGGUAAUAAAAAGUAUGGGAACACAAUAUGGCCCCCCCCCCCUUGGUUAACAAAGGCUUCCAUGAGCUUGCAGCUAAGAUUCUUGAAGGACCGCCAGCUGCUUGACGUGUCUACCUGUACUUUAAGCAAAAAUACCUUGCUAUCUGGUGAGGAUGUUGCUGUUUUUAUCAGGGAGAGGACCUUCUUGGUGGCGUAACUUCAACUAAGGAAUGGCCUUUGGAAUGGUUGCUGCCUUUCAACUGGCUUUUUAAAUUUUUUGUUGCAGUUUAAUUGUGUUGCAGUCAUUUCCUUUAUAUGUAAACCAACCCGAGAAUAAAGUUCCAGGGCAGCAUCUCGAUAUCUAAAAUAAACAAAUAAAGAUGGUUCCCUCCACAUCCUCUAUUGGCAACUUGUUACAUUGCAGCUUCAAGCUCACCUAUUAAGUAUCUGAACGCUCACAAAGAUAACACAUAUGCCAGUCACUAAUAUUUCUGCCAGGCAUUUCCCCAUCUUUUAGAUCCACCCCCCCCCCCCAUUUCGGUGGUUGUGUGAACAGGAUCGGUUCAGUACUUCAAGAAUUCUUGCUUUUUGACCAAGAUGCAAGCAAAGGAAUUUUAGUAUUUCAUGGGUAUGCAUGAUACAAGUGAAACGGAAGAGUAUCUCCUGUUCAGGGUGCUCUCUUCCAAAAUAUUUGAUUCCAUUCCUUCUCCCCUGAUUGGGAUGUUUUUGGGGUUUUCAACUCUCCUUUUAAAUAUUUUGGAUUUUUGUAGUUCUUCAAGCCUCAGGGUUUCCCCAAGCUCGCUGACACUUCUGGUAUGCGUGGUUGGUACCAUCUUGGCUAUACGAAUUUGCUAUUAGUACAUAGGAUUUUAGCCCUGUUCCUCCUCUGCUUAGCUUUGGAAAGAUACUGGAAUGCUUGCUUUGUUUGCCUGUGACUCCUCUUGUCCUUAAGUGUCAGCCAAAUAACUUGGUUCGCUUUAUCCACGCCAUCUCCCUUUCCCAUCCACCUCCAUUGUCUGCCUUCAGGAUACUAGCAAGCCUUUUUUGUUUUGAGGACAUGCAGCAUAAGAGUUUUCAGAAGGCUGACAAAAAGGGAACUGGGAUUAAAGGCCUUCUGCCUGAAUAUGCCAAGCUUUUACAUUAAAAGGAUAUGAUUGCUUUCUGCCCAAACAGUGCAUCACGGGUAGAGGAGCUGGGGCCAGAGCCUAUUUAAUUUAUUCGUGAAUUAUCUGGAGUCAGGGGGGUAUGUGGAUGAUAUUGUAUGUUUCAGGAUGGUGAUACUAGAUAACUCAGUCUCUGCAAACUGGGCUAAUGGGCAACAAAUGGCAAAAUGAGAUUCGGUGUAAACAAGAGCAAUGUCAUUUUCACUGGGCCAAACAAGAAGAAGAAUCCUCACUUAACCUUUGUGCUGAAGGGAGUCUGAACUGUCCGUGAUUCUCCAUGAAAGAUCUUGCAGUGGGGGGGGGGUGAAUAGAUCACUAAAACAUCAGUGUGGCUUUGAAAAAGACAAGUUGGGGAUCACAAGUGGGGAUCUACAAGAAAAUGUUGGAGUGUGUCUUGAAUUAAUACCUCACGGUCUGCCUCUUUCCAUAUGAACCUACUUGGACCCUGAGAUCAUCUUCUGAAUCCCUUCUUUGUGUGCCUCCUCCAUGAGAGGUCCAGAGGGUGGCAACACGAGAACAGAUCUUUUCUGCAGUGGCUCCCCAUUUGUGGAAUGCUCUCGAGGUAUGGCUGGCACCUUCAUUAUAUACCUUUAGGCACCAGGCAAAAACAUUCUUCUUUAACCAGGCCUCUGGCUGAUUGACAUCCAAUGCCCUUUUAAAAUGUGGUGGGUAUUCUUGUUUUUCUUUUUAUUAUGUAUUUUGUGCUUUUAUAUUGCGAUUUUAUGUUGUUAUGAGACCUGCGGGUAUAGGGCUGUAAACAAACAAACAACAAAACCUUUCUUAAAUUUGGGAGCAGAGGGGAGCAAGUCACACAGCCAUGGCUGGAAGAAUUGACCCAGUGGUUCCCAUGGCAACCAGAAACUGCCCCCAAAGCCUUCCCAAUUACAUGAGAGAUGGGAGACAGAGUGAGGUAGAAGGAACCUCUUUCCAUGUAGGUUGGGCUGACCCUGGGAGGCUUCCCCUCUUUGCAGAGCAGCAGAAAACAAGAAGGGUUUGCCACAGAUAGACACUGCUGGCAGCAUCCUGUUCUGGGCAGCUCUCCUGCCAGUCUGCACAAAGAGGAGGCCUCCUCCAUGCAUGGUUGAAGAAAGCAAGGAGCACAGCUAGGCAGGGGCAUGGCAGCUUUAAUUCUGCUACUCUGCAUGGAGAAGAGGGCUUGCCUUACAAGCAUCACUUAGGCAUACCCCACACUUUCUCUGUUCUAUGUAAAUUCAGAACGUUGCAACUCUCUUAAACUACUGCUUGACUCGGUGAAAUACACGGUUUUACUCCUCAGCCGUGCACUGCUGUUGGAUACACGGGUAGCAUCACUAAGGAGAGGUACCCUUUUCCAGCUUCAGCAACUAUGACCCAUACUGACAAAAGUGAACCUCACCAGCACAGUUUAUGUCCUAUUGACCUCCAGGCCAUACAACAAUGCACUCUAUGUUUUGAAACUAAUUAGUGUGUUGUUGUUUUUUAAAAAAGGACAGCCAUGUUGCUGGUGGGUGCCAGAUGCCUCGAUCCCAUCACACUGAUUUUGCACAACCUGCCCUGGCUUCUUGUUCAUUUAUGAUCACAAUUCCGGGUGCUGAUGUUAGCCUUUAAAGCCCUCACUAGCUUGGGCUCUGGGUACCAUAAAGGCUGCUUUCUUCCAUAGAUUCCUUCCUGCAUGUCCUGAUCAUCAUCCCUUGGCCUCACGGGGCACUGCUGAUUGCAUCCAGGACUGGGGAACUUCCCAUGGUGAUACCUGCCCUGUGGAAUGGUUUGCCAAGCAUGGUUCACCAGGCUCCAUUUCUAUCUGGUUUUAGCCACAGAGCUAGUAAAAUGUGGUUGUUCAGAAUGGCUUUUUGCAAAUUGUUACUUUAUAUGGCCGGUUUUUGUGUGUGUGAGUUUUAGGACUGAGUUUAACUUGGUGGUUGUUCUGUGUUCAACAUUUUGUUCUGGCAUUUUGGCUUAUUACCUGCCUUGAGGUUCCCUGGGAUGUAGGAAGCGUAUGAGCUUUAUAAAUAAAUUGUAAUUAUCAGUGUUACUAUUUUUGUGAGACCAACGUCACUGACGUAGUAAAACUUUGUGGAUCUUCUGCUCAGCAGUCUGGAGUUGAAAAUUGUUGUCCAUCUAAAUAUUUCGGUUCAAAAUCUCACCAGAGGGAGUCAUGAUAAAUUGAAGGAUACCUGUGCAACCCUCUAAUCACAGUGACAUGGCUGAUUUGUUUAUAAAAUGCUAAUUUUGACUUUUACGUUGAGGUCAGGCUCUUGCAUGAGUUAUCAAGAUAAGUGCAAAUACCUCUUUUUAUAGCACUUAAUUGUCCAUCUGAAAUAUUUGUCAAAUACCCACCGAGAUGUUUCACAUGUUUGCUUUAAAAAGGAACUUUGUGAUCUAGCUAAUGGAGACUCCAUAGAUAACAGGCUGGCCCCUGGCCCUGUUCUUUUGUAUUGUUUUCUGUCUUUCAUUCCAUGGGUCCCAAAUUCUGAUUUCUUAACUAGAAUUUCUAAGGUUAAAUCCAAAACUGGAGCAUGUGGAGAAAUGCCUUCUUCUUCCACAUAUGCCUGCCCCUCCUCUAGGUGUUUCCACCUUUAGAGGUUGGGUAGGUUGCUGUCAAAGAGCCAUAAAAGUCAUAGACACUCCCCUCCCUCUAGAAUGGCCUCCCCAGGGAGGCUUCCUCAGUGACAGGCGCAUAGGGACCUCUCUUGUGCCACCUACUCAAGAACAGGAGUAUUAUGCAUGGGGGGGCUGAGCCCUCAUCUGCUUUAUGUAGAUCAGGCUUCCUCAGCCUUGGCCCUCCAAAUGUUUUGAGACUACAAUUCCCAUCAUCGCUGACCACUGGUCCUGCUAGCUAGGGAUCAUGGGAGUUGUAAGCCAGAAACAUCUGAAGGGCCGAGGUUGAGGAAACCUGAUGUAGAUGAUUGUUUUGGCCAACCUUAUAAGGUUGUUGUAUAGAUUAAGGAAAGCUGUUUAUAUGGAAUAUCUGGGGGGCGGGGCGGGCUUAUACCAAUAGUAUCAUCAGUGAUUUCAUUUUAGAAACUCAUUGCAAGAUAGUGCUUGUAAUUUCCCCUCCAAGGUAAUCUGCUCUUUGUACAACACUGUAACUAGAGCUCCCAUGAGGGCUGAUUUAUUUAUGAUUGUAUCAAAACAAUUAUCCAACCUGCCUGACUUAAUUGCUUUUUAAUAUCGUAAAAUGAUGUACCAAGCAGUGCGUGCUUUAAUCAGCUAAUUGAGUGGCCAAACAUAAAAAGCACCCAGUUCUUUGAACCAGACCUUUAUUUGCAGCUUGGAGCAUGUAAAUAGUUCUUCCAAUUGUGAGAGAUUAAGAUAGAAUUUACAUGUUUCGCUGUCUUUUCUUAGCUUGCCUCACUCUUAAGCAAUUUGCUCAACAUAGCAGGCAUUGUUGUGUUUCACACACUCCACUGGCCAAUACUGCUACAUGAGGAGCAGGUAUGUGCCCACAACACCUCACUGCAACACAGGCUGUUUUUGCAGAAUAUCUGAAGGUGCGGACUAGGAACGAAGAUGAUGGGCAGGUUCAGAUGCCAGAAAGUGUUCACAGAUAAUUUAGGUCACUGUAAGGUGUGUAUUUUAAGGCCUUACAGUUUUGCCUGGAAACAAGCUGAGUGAGAUCCAGUGACAAUAUUUAAACUUUAAGUUAAAGAUACUCAUUACAGUAGGACCCGGUUAAUAACUUGCAUUCUAGACAUAUAACUAUGUGCAUUCAUCAGGUAAGGUGAAAUUCAUUUUUAUGGCUGCCCACUAAAAGCUCCCCAAAGCAGUACAUAAAAAAUUUAACCACAAUAAAAUACAUAUUUCAAAACAUAUUGCAGAAUAUAAUAGACAUACCAGAUGGAGAUUCUGGUGGUGGACCAACUACAGUUGCAACAGGCACAACUUGAUCAACUGCAAGAAAAGCUGGUUCUCGGACCCUGAAGCUGCAGGAUUGACCUUGAGGAAGGUCUGCAACCCCCAUUCCCAGCACUGCUUGUGUGCACACCAUACAUUUGAAGUACGCAUGCACACUGCAAGAAUCCUGGGCACUCUAGUUUGUUAAGACUGCAGGGGAUUUUAGCUCUAUGAUGUGUCAACUAUAGUCCCCAAAUUUCUUUAGGCGGUGUUUUAAAUGUGUGGUGUGUAUGCAGGCUUGGCCUAUGCAUAUAAUACUCUGAAAUAUGUUUCUGUAACACAGUAUUACCAUUUUAUUAGUUUUCUUUUUUCAUUUAAAGUUUGCUUGUUGCUUUCUGUUGCCUUGUUGCAGAAAUUCAUACAAGCGUGUAUUUUGAAAGCAGAAGGAUUGCUCUGAAUUUGUUGUUGUUCUAUAAUAAUAAUAAUAAUAAUAAUAAUAAUAAUAAUAAUUUAUUAUUUGUACCCCGCCCAUCUGGCUGGGUUUCCCCAGCCACUCUGGGCAGCUUCCAUAGAAACCAAAAAUACACUAAAAUAUCAUACAUUAAAAACUUCCCUGAACAGGGCUGCCUUAAGAUGUCUUCUGAAUGUCAGGUAGUUAUUUAUCGCUUUGACAUCUGAUGGGAGGGCGUUCCACAGGGCGGGCGCCACUACCGAGAAGGCCCUCUGCCUGGUUCCCUGUAGCUUUGCUUCUCGCAAUGAGGGAACUGCCAGAAGGCCCUCGGCGCUGGACCUCAGCGUCCGGGCAGAACGAUGGGGGUGGAGACGCUCCUUCAGGUAUACUGGGCCGAGGCCGUUUAGGGCUUUAAAGGUCAGCACCAACACUUUGAAUUGUGCUCGGAAAUGUACUGGGAGCCAAUGUAGGUCUUUCAAGACCGGUGUUAUGUGGUCUCGGCGACCGCCCCCAGUCACUCGUCUAGCUGCCACAUUCUGAAUUAGUUGUAGUUUCCGAGUCACUUUCAAAGGUAGCCCCACAUAGAGCACAUUGCAGUAGUCCAAGCGGGAGAUAACUAGAGCAUGCACCACUCUGGCGAGACAGUCCGCGGGCAGGUAGGGUCUCAGCCUGCGUACCAGGUGGAGUUGGUAGAGAGCUGCCCUGGAUACAGAAUUGGCCUGCGCCUCCAUGGACAGCUGUGAGUCCAAAAUGACUCCCAGUCUGCGCACCUGGUCCUUCAGGGGCACAGUUACCCUAUUCAGGACCAGGGAGUCCUCCACACCAGCCCGCCCCCUGUCCCCCAAAAACAGUACUUCUGUCUUGUCAGGAUUCAACUUCAAUCCAUUAGCCGCCAUCCAUCCUCCAACCGCCUCCAGGCACUCACACAGGACCUUCACCGCCUUCACUGGUUCUGAUUUGAAAGAGAGGUAGAGCUGGGUAUCAUCUGCAUAUUGAUGGACACCCAGUCCAAACCCCCUGAUGAUCUCUCCCAGCGGCUUCAUAUAGAUGUUAAAAAGCAUGGGGGAGAGGACGGAACCCUGAGGCACCCCACAAGUGAGGGCCCAGGGGUCUGAACACUCACCCCCCCCCCACUUUCUGAACACGGCCCAGGAGGAAGGAGCGAAACCACUGUAUAACAGUGCCCCCAGCUCCUCUAGACGGUCCAGAAGGAUGUUAUGGUCGAUUGUAUCAAAGGCCGCUGAGAGAUCCAGCAGAACUAGGAAACAACUCUCACCUUUGUCCCUAGCUCGCCGGAGAUCAUCAACCAGCGUGACCAAGGCAGUUUCAGUCCCAUGAUGAGGCUUGAAUCCCGAUUGGAAGGGAUCCAAAUGGUCCGCAACCUCCAGGCGUGCCUGGAGUUGUUCAGCAACCACGCGCUCAAUAACCUUGCCCAAGAAUGGAAGAUUUGAGACUGGGCAAUAGUUGGCCAUACUGGCCGAGUCUAAAGAUGGUUUUUUAAGAAGCGGUUUAAUGACCGCCUCUUUCAGCGGAUCUGGGAAUGUUCCCUCACAGAGGGAAGCAUUCACCACCCCACAGAGCCCAUCACCCAGCCCUUCCCGGCUUGCUUUUAUUAGCCAGGAUGGGCAAGGAUCCAGGAGACAGGUGGUUGGUUUCACGCGUCCAAGCAGCCUGUCCACAUCCUCGGGGGUAACAGAUUGAAAUUGAUUCCAUGCAACUUGACCAGACAGAGCUCUAGCACUCUCCCGCCCCAGCCCUGCUCCCAUGGUGGUGUCUAGCUCCACUUUAGACGGUCCUAGCAGUGUCAUGAAAAGCAAGCGUGCUCUGUCAAUACAUUUUCUACAUAUUGCAGGCAUAUGAACAAUCCACACAUUCUGUGGAAAGAACCAACUUGAUACUAGGUGAAAACUCAUUGUGAGAAGGGGAACAGCAUUGAAAUGGCCGUUUUGUAAGUUCAAGUUCUCAUGCGUGAAAUGGCAGCACUUUCAGAACUUCAGGUUUUUGGAGCCUCCAGCAAAUGGGAUCUUUAAUAAGGGACCCAGAAAUAUAUAACAAUGCCUAGGUAUCGUCCCAAGUUGCAGACCCAAUUUGACAGACAUUGGACCUGGAAUAAGCUCACACUGGGCUUUGUGUGUUGGUUUCUUUUGGUAGCCCACAAGGACAUCUCGGGGCGUCAGCCAUCAGAAGUACUUUCUUUCUCUUCUGCCAUUACUACUGGCUCAACUCAGACAGAUCCAAGUGCUUCAAAACAUCAUUAAAGGCAGAUCUGCACCAUACAUUUAAAAACUAUCCAGUGCACAUUUAGAGUGCAUGACUUCCCCCAAAGAUUCCUGGGGGCUGUGGUUUCGACUUCCAAAGCUACGAUUCCAAGCACCUUUAACAAAGUUCUGCUUUUUGUGUAUGUUUGUGAUGGAAAAGAAGCCCUUGGAAAGCACUUGGAAUCAGUGGUGGAGUUAGCUGCAUGGGCACCCCAAGCAGUGGCCAUGAUGUGCACCCGGGGGGGGUGAGUUGUGGGGUGGCAGCAUGAUCCGCUGCACAUGGUGGCACCUUGAGCCGCUGCACACGGGGGCGGCGGGGCAAGCCCCGUGCGGUGUGCCUUUUUGUCACCCCCCCCCCCAGGGAUGACACCCGGGGUGGACCGCCCCCACUGCACCCCCCUUCCUACGCCCCUGCUUGGCAUUAGCUCCAGUUGGCUCUCCAGAAAAGGUGUCUGUGUCAGACUCCACCCUUUUUAUUUAUUAAAUUUAUAUACCACCCUUUGUCCAAGGUUCAUAGGGCAGCUAAAAGUAUAAAAACACAAAAAUACACAGCAUAAUAACAAACAAAGCAAUAAUCCCCCACCAUGGAUCCCAUGUUGGUGAUGGACACUAAAGCACUGCCUGGAUUGUCCACUUACAGGCACCAAGCCCAUCUAAUUCUCUGGCCUGCCUCUUCUUCUUCUUUGGCGAUGACUCAUAGCCAAGUAAGAUUGCCUUCCAUGAACACGGUCUUAACAGUGAGUCCGUAAGUGACUGUGGAGGCCAAUUCUGGAUCCACACAUCCUUCCACAGUGGGGACAUAGGUUUCCGGGCGGAAGCUGAUCACGGUGAGGGUUUGCCAAAUGUGCCUUCCUUUUAGCACGUUUCUCCCUUUCAUCCCUUUGAACAUCUUCAAAGUCCAUGUCACUUUUGGUAAAGGCUGUUCUCCAGUUGGAGUGCUCAAAAGCCAGUGUUUCCCAGUUAUCAGUGCUUAUGUUACAUUUUUUUUAGAUCUGCCUUGAGAGCGUCUUUAAACCUCUUUUGUUGUCCACCAGUAUUACAUUUCCCAUUUUUAAGUUCGGAAUAGAGCUCUGGCCUACUACAUACCUAGCACAGACUUUUAUUACAUGUGUCAGUGGAGAGGAGGCAAGGAGUGUCUGCAGAGAGCAGUUUAUUUUUUGCAAUAGAGAUGUGAUUUGUACUAUUACAGACACAUAAUUAUUGAGGAGCAGAACCAACAUUUCCAUAAUGCAGUAGCCUCUGACUUUGCUCGUUAUAUAAGCUAGUAUUUGCAUGCUCAGUUAAGUGAGCCAUCCUCUCUACCCUCACAUUCUUGAUCCUACUUCCAGUGGACACAGGUGGGCAGUCAAAUGUUUUGGAAAGUAAUUGGUUGCAUUGCGCUUUCCCCGAAUUAAACAGCUUCCCUAGCUCUAGUUGCCAUAGCAAAGAAGCUGAGUGUUCCCUUGAUGCGAGCAAUAAUUAUGGUGAUUAUGGAAUGAUUCCCCCCCCUUUUUUUUUUGGAGCAGCUAUUGCAAGUGGUUAUAUUCCGGUCCAAAGUACAAUGUGAAUGACACGUUAAUUGUGUUUGAAGAGAAGAGGAGGCUGCUCUUUUGCUAGGGAAAUGACUGUGAAACAAAGCCCCAGAGGUGAAACAAAGAACCAGCAUAAUGGUUCAGUGGCAGCAAAAAUAAAUGCACCGUGAGAAGGGCACAGAGAAAGGACUUUAGUGCCAGCGAAAUGUAUUCAGUUCGGCCCAGGUGAUUGGUAAGCAUCUGCUGUGCUGUCAAGGGUCCCCACCUCUGUGCCAGGGGUCACCUAGUGUUGGCAACACUUAAAUUCUGCACCUCCGAAGACCCCAGUUUCCAGACAUACUUCACCAAGCUCACACUUAGAUGUCAUUCCUAAUGGGACCCUCAAGUAAGUGAACAACCAUCAUAGAAACGUAGCAAUAGACCAAGUAACAAGCAAGCUUCUGCUGAAGUGGACUCCAGUCUACAAAAGCUUGUGCCAUGUUUAAUGUUUCGUGUCAGUUCACUGUUGGAGGCAGUAUGCUACUGAAUACCAGUGCUGUGCGCUUGGGUCCUGUUUGCAGCUUCCCAUAGGUGUUUGGCUGGCCACGGUGAGAACAGGUUGCUAGACCAGACAAGCCUUUGUCCUGCUGCAGAUGCUGGUCUUCCCUACAACCCAAUGUGCAGUUUCUGUGCUAAGUCCAAAGAAGGGCAUUUACCUUCAGAAUGUCAAACGAGAAAGAAAUCAGGACCACUACAUGUAUUCUGAAUGGAACAUGACACUGGAUGCAGAAUUCCUGUUCCAUCGCAGCAAUGUGAGGCACUGCUAAGCAGGGUCAGAAUGAAGCAAGGAAGCAUGGUGGUAAUAAGGUUGUGUGAGCGGCUAUGAUGAGCACAGAUGAAUAAGCCCUCGUACCCGCUGCUGCCAACCUCGCACUUCCCCCAUCCUCACAAUUAUUCUGCCUAACUUCUUCCUGGUCCAGAUGAACAGCAACAGAACUUAAUUCUGCCGAAGCAAAAAUAAUAAGAAAUGCAUCAUUUGCGUAAUUAGUACAGGUUGCAGGAUUCGGCUUUUCAAGGCACAUAAUUUUGUUUUUCACACAUCCCUUGCAGAGUAUAAACAAUUCAACAGCAGCAAAGAUGUUUCUGCAUCCCUCCCAACUGCAGUGGUAUAAUAAUACCUUGGCUCUGGCAACCAGUGAAAACAGGAGUUUAGAAUCUUUUGUCUCCCCUCUUCAUUUGCCACAUGCAUUAUUUGUUUAUUAUUUAUUAAUUUGUUAGUCGCUUUAUCUUGCCCAGGGCAGGGCAACCCAAAGCAACUUACAACUAACCAAACAGACAGAGACACACAUCCUAAUACAUUAAAAUCAAGAGGAAAACCAAAUAUAUUAAAAACAUCCCAUCCACAGAGUAAAGUUUUUGCCUGGCACCUAGAUAUAUAAUGACAGCACCAGGUGAGCCUCCCAUAUAUGCCUCUACCUGAAGGGCAGCACCUUAAUUAUAGAAAGAACUGAACUGAACUGAACUGGAGGCAGUGCCAGAUUUACGUAUAAGCUAAACAAGCUAUAGUUUAGGGCCCCACUCUCUUGGGGCCCCCAAAAAAAUUUAAAGGGAAAAAACCUGGAUGUACAUUUCCAAAAUAUAAGAUAAAAAAAGAAAUAAAAUAAAACCUACAUACAGCAACAGUGUUUUGUGUUGUGUAGGCUCCUAUGAUGUAAGUAGUGGGCCCCACCUGCUAGCCUGCUCCCUAAAAUAUCAGUAGUUAGAUACCUAUUAGGUCCAUAAAUUACCAUAUAGCAUAUAUUCAACACACAAAAAAACAGUGACAAUUUGUUGUUGACAAAGGACAGCUGGACAUAUAAAGGGCCCCAUUACCUUCAGUAGCUUAGAGCCUCAAUAAACCUAAAUCCGGCCCUGACUGGAGGUUAUACAGUGGUACCUUGGGUUAAGUACUUAAUUCGUUCCAGAGGUCCGUUCUUAACCUGAAAACUGUUCUUCACCUGAAGCACCACUUUAGCUAAUGGGGCCUCCUGCUGCUGCCGCACCGCCGGAGCACAAUUUCUGUUCUCAUCCUGAAGCAAAGUUCUUAACCCGAGGUACUAUUUCUGGGUUAGCGGAGUCUGUAACCUGAAGCAUAUGUAACCUGAAGUGUAUGUAACCCGAGGUACCACUGUAAUCUGUGAUAGGGCUUCUGAUAGUUGGGACAGAGAUCCAAAUUCUAACCAUGUCUACUCAGUCCUAACCAUGUCUACUCAGAACUAAGUCCUUUUAUAAAAUUGGCAGGACUUACUCCCAGGUAAGUGGAGUUAAGCUUGUGGCCUAAAUUCCCUAUUUUAAACUGGAAUAGAAGCAAGUAGAUGUGCAUGUUUAUUUGUGUCCACCACAGUGAGCUUCUUGAUCAGGGGUAGGCAACCUAAGGCCCGAGGGCCAGAUCUGGCCCAUUCACCUUCUCAAUCUGGCCCACGGAUAGUCCAGGAAUCAGCAUGUUUUUACAUGAGUAGAAUGUGUGCUUUUAUUUAAAAUGCAUCUCUGGGUUAUUUGUGUGGCAUAGGAAUUCAUUCAUUUUUUUUCUUUUCAAAAUAUAGUCCAGCCCACCACAUGGUCUGAGGGACAAUGGACCGGCCCAUGGCUGAAAAAGGUUGCUGACCCCUGUUCUUGAUGCUAAGCUGAUUUCUCUCAUCUUUUUAUUCAUGAUUUGCUUGUAGUUUUCGUCUCUGGCCGCUAGAGAGCAACCAUGGCUCAGCGUUACUGUCUUUGCUAAAAGAGCAUGAAAGUCGUUUGAUAUUCAGCUACUCAGGAAGGGCAGUGAUUUAAGUGAAAGAGCAUUGAGUACAGGGUGCACUGUGGAGGGGUGUGUGUGCUAUAUUUGCUUUUUUAACAGCUACCCAGCAACUCAGAGUGAUCUGAUGAGAGACUGUAACAGUGACAACUCAGUGUUGCUGUCUCUGAAGUGUGAUUGAUUUUCGGCAACUGGCAACAUGCCUCUGCUACAUUCCAUGUUUUUUGUUUUAAAUAAUGGUCCCUAAAAUUCCCAUGCAAAAUUGCAGAAUUAAGAUGAUGCCUGCAUGCUUCCUGAAGUCACCACAACCUCCUGUAGCAGAUAGCAGGCAUACAUGAGGUAUGGACUUGCUUUGGGAGACAGUAGAGAGUUGGCUGGGAAGGACGUAAAGAGACCUGCUGAUGACUUCCUUUCUAGCAACACAAGGCCUCAAAGUCAUUUUGCUGAGAAAAUACAUCAGACCAUGAGCCGUACUGCCAGUUUGUGACACUGCUGCCCCACCAGGUGGGUGAAAGGGACCAAGAGGGUAGGAAAUGUGGGAAAGAUCAGGGACUUUUAUUUGUAAGGGUUAAUUUUGUCCUGGGCUGGGCUGGGCCAAGGACGAAUCCCAAAAAUGGCUCCCCAUUCCCCACAAGGGAAGAUUUACAUGUGGAUCAAGGGGGAAAGAAAGAUCAACAUCAGGAUCCUCCCACCUGAGGCAGUGAUCUCAUCUUGCUUUAAAGAUCAGCAUUGGGAUCAUCUGCUCCUGUGGAUUCUGCCGCCUGGGUCAGAUGCCUCAUCUUGCCUCACAGGUGGGCCGGCCCUGGUCUUGUGUGUGAGAGGGUGCAGAAGCAAAGGAACUAUUCUUCAGCUACUGACAUUGUAAUACCUGAUCUAUUGGGAGCAGCUACUCCUGUGUUGAUUGGUAACAGACUGCUGUUUUCAUUUCACCCAGAUGCAAAUGUGGCCAUUCAGUAAAACCCCGUUGCAUUUGAUCACAAUGGGCUAGAUGGCCAGAUGAAAAGUGAAUAUAGUCCUUGGAGAAAUAACUCUUCAAAAAAAAUCCAUUAGGUGGCAACUUGGGGUUUUUGACUGACAGAUCCUCUUAUGAAGCUAAUAUUGUAAGUUUAGCUAUGAGUAAAAUAAUGAUUCUUGUGUGGGAAGCAGGAUAAGGAAGGCAAUUAGUAGUUUAAUAACAGCUUUCUGCUGGCUGAAUAGUAGCUGGAAACUUAAAGUACAGUUGAUGGUAAUCAGCUGAUUUUUUUUAACUCCUAAAUAAAAACAGCAGCAAAAAAAUGAAUAUAAACUCAUCUUGCUCCUUCCUACCUUUCAGUGUUUUCUGUUUUUGCAUGAUUGGUGAUGCAUUUAAACUGCCUUGUAUUUGAGAGAGAGAGAGAGGAAAGGAGGUUGUUUCUGGAAGUGAGCGAAGCGCAGAAUAGUGGGCAUGGAUGAACAGAGCAAUGUUAACAUGGUGCAAGAAAUGCUGUCAUGAACUGUGGAGUAAACUGCUUGGUACAACAGUUUAUGAAGUACAAGGUUUAUGAAGAGAAGAUGUAUGGAUACUUAGUCUGGCCUCCUCUUAAAAAUAUAUAUGGAAAAGGAUUCUUCUCAUGAUUUCCCUAGUCAUUUUCCCCUGUUGUCCAGCUUUUCUUACUAUAUCUGAAAAAUGUCCUGAUAUGCAUAAGGUUCAGGGCCGGCCUACCCAUAAUGCAAGAUGAGACAACUUCCUCAGGUGGCAGGUUUCAUUAUAGCAGCAGAUCUUGAUCUCAGUCUUUCUUCCCUUCUUGUUCCUGAGGUACAUCUGCCCUGGCGGGGAGGGGAGCACCAUUUUGGGGUCCACCAGAGGUGCCAAGAUGUCUUGGGCUGGUCCUGCUAAGGCUGAUUUGCUUCAGUGGCCUCCCCCCCCCUUUUGAAGAGUCAUUCUUUAAGGAUUCAAUUCUAUUGCAUAUAUCCCCAGAAGGCUGUUGUAUUCUCCCCUCACUCUUGUUUUAUUUCUUCUAGCCAGGGGCAUGGCUAGAUACUUAAAAGAGAAACAAAUCUGCAUAUAGUGUAUAUGUAUAGUUGCCUCUGGCAAAUUAAGGUGGCAAGCGUGCUUGGGGGUGUUCUGAUUUCUUUAAAAGUCAGGAGACUGUUACAUGCAUCUGCCAUGUAACAUCUAGUUUGUUGUUGUUGUUUAGUCGUGUCCGACUCUUCGUGACCCCAUGGACCAGAGCACGCCAGGCACUCCUGUAUUCCACUGCCUCCCGUAGUUUGGUCAAACUCAUGCUGGUAGCUUUGAGAACACUGUCCAACCAUCUCAUCCUCUGUCGUCCCCUUCUCCUUGUGCCCUCAAUCUUUCCCAACAUCAGGGUCUUUUCCAGGGAGUUUUCUCUUCUCAUGAGGUGGCCAAAGUAUUGGAGCCUCAGCUUCACGAUCUGUCCUUCCAGUGAGCACUCAGGGCUGAUUUCCUUCAGAAUGGAUAGGUUUGAUCUUCUUGCAGUCCAUGGGACUCUCAGAGUCUCCUCCAGCACCAUAAUUCAAAAGCAUCAAUCCUUCGGCGAUCAGCCUUCUUUAUAGUCCAGCUCUCACUUCCAUACAUCACUACUGGGGAAAACAUAGCUUUAACUAUGCGGACCUUUGUCGGCAAGGUGAUGUCUCUGCUUUUUAAGAUGCUGUCUAGGUUUGUUAGGUAAGAAAAGUGCCUGGGAUUUUACAGGGCUUGUGCUUCCUUACAAUGUUUUGUUUCUGUGAAUAAAACGAGCACGGGGGUGGGGGGGAUGCCAGUUGCCUGCUCACAUGGAUGCCUCGAAAUUUGAAAUAUUUAUUGAGUCAUGUAGCAUUGGCUUGUAAAAUUUUGAGGCCAGCUUCUAGAAACAUGAAAUACUUUUCUAGCCUUGAAUACAACCCUAGAACUAGACACUUUCCACCCUUUGCAGAACACCGCAGCUGUUGCUGCCAUUAGAAGGCAAGAGCCAGAGCAUAUAUUUAUCUUUCUAGGCUUUGCUCAAAUCCUUAUAAAAUUUGCCAGGAAAACUGGAAGUGACUUACGACAUGAUUGUGACUGCUGAAAGCAUCCCAGCUACAUGAAGCAGAAGAACAAGAGGUUUGGAGAUUUGCUGCCGCACUGUGCAUUGAGUUCAUAGUCUUGUUCUUUCCCACUCCAAACAAUACUGCUGUAAAUCAGAAAUGAUUCUGCUGUAAAUCUUAAGGAUCCAGUCUGCAAAAACUUUCUUACUGAGAACUGUAUUUAUUUAUUUUUAAUAUAGCUGCCAGGAGGGUGUCUUUGUUUACAUUUGGCAUGCCAAAAAUCCCUCUCUGAAACCAGCUUACAUAAUAAUGUUUCAGCCCUGGUUUACUUAUUAGCAUUGCAAACUGCAGCAGUAAGCCAUGGAUUGAUGCACGCUCUGUGACAUUUGCAUUUAGAAAUGAAAAGGCAAGUGUUCAUUAAGUAGUGUGCCAUUUCCAAAAGGAAAGGGGGGGGGAAAUACUUCCAGUUGUAUUUAAGGCUUAAUUAAUGUGUGUGUGUGUGUGUGUGUGUGUGUGUGUAUAGAACGUUCCCCAGAUACUUUUUGCCGCAAGGGUUAUUAACAAAUGCACACUGCCAUCUUAUUAUUUUAGUUGCUGUGGCUAAGACAUCAGCCUAUUAUAGCAUCCUGAAAAUGCCUUUAGCCUUGUAAAUAUUAGAAAAGAGUCUGAAUAUAAACCACAAUAGUUCUGAUGGCGCCUGGGAAUUAAAUUACAUAGUUCUAGAAAGCUCUAAAUUGCAAGUAUUCAAACAUAAGGACUUGAGGCCUGAUGACACGUACAUGUGUUAUGCAGUGCUGCUGUUUUGUUAAUGUUUCUCUAAAUGGUAGGGGUGAGGUAUUUCUGAGAGUGCUGACCAUUCCUGUAAUUCAGGUGUGGUUUGAAGGUGCUCUGUGGGCUGAAGCAACUAUCCUCAACACUAAGAACUUUCUGUGACAGACAGACCAGGGCUGUCUGUCAAUGUUUUUAGCUUUUGUUUUGUUUUGUUUUAUAGUGGCUUUAACUUUUUGUCAUAUUUUUAGGUCGGCUUGAGUUUACUUUUCAUAAAAAAGUGACUAAAUGCGAUUAAGAAUAAUAAAUAAUAUGUACCCAUCUACCAUUCUGUUGUGUGUACUGCUUAGAAAGGUUUGGGAUUAAGUGGUCUUUAAAUCUCCCAAAAGCUAUAAAUCACAACCAGCACACAGGAGACAUCUACAGCCCUUUGCUUCCAUACCAUGCAAUUGUACUCACACUCCUAUAGGAACUCGCUCCCUAGAAAAGCCAGACUGGCUCCCUCCUUGUUGUCCUUCUGCUGGCAGACUUUCUUGUUCCAACAGGGAAAUGGCUGCUUUUAACGAAAGGGCUGGUGCCCUGCUCUUCUUAUUGUAAUUAUUUGUAUGGUUUUAUUAGAUUAUAAUAAAUUUUAACAAUCUUUAAUUGUUCUUCAUUAAUUGUUUCUUCUAUGUUUUUAGUGAUUCUUAUUUUAAUCUGUAAGCCGCUUCAAUUAUUAUUAUUUUAUUUACCAUUAUUUAUUAAAUUUAUAUGCCGGCCUUCAUCCAAAGAUCACAGGGCGGUUUACAGUAUAAAGUUGUUGGGCGCCUGACCCCCACCAGCCCCAGCCAGGGCAGACAGUGAUCAAGGAUGAUGAAAGUUGCUGUCCAAAACAUCUGGAAAGCCUAUUCCCACCAUCCUUGAUGUCCCUGUCAGGGGAAAAGGCAAUGUAUAAAGAAAAAUAUAAUAAAAGUAUAGUAAUAUUUACAACCAGUUUAGCAAAUGAUAACCUUAUUGCCUCUUUAGGUAGUGGUCAGAUUCCUCGUGGCACAAUCUCUUGAAUUCAAGUAGGCUUUCUUGUGCAGAGGAGAGGUACAAUUAAGUGACUUUAAAUUUCUCUUUUGAUCUUUGCUUCGAUUCAGAAAUUCUUGCCACGUGAGCAAGAAGCCCUUGCAGUCCCGGGCCAAAGUGCAAUGCCAUAACCACCUGUGUUCUCAAGCUGCUCCUGAGGGUCUCCUGACCAUUUGGAGGCAGAGUGAGAUCUUUUGGGAACUUUGGAUACAAACUCUAUGAAACUCAGUGAGAGAUGUGGGGUUUAAAUAACAGUGACAUGAGGACGCAGAUCAUUCCCGAUUCAAUUACAAUGGGAUUUUGUCGAUGGUAAGUUUGGGAUUUUUCCUCCGUGUUUCUCAAUCACCUUUUCACACUGUGUUGGAUACGCCUGUUGGUCAGUCUUGCACGUUGUUAUUCUACUUGUUCUUGCUGCAUGUCAUUGUGAGAUGCGUCUGGAAUGUUGAAUGAAGUGCCUCCUGUGUAUCGUCCAGUGUAAAAGACAUUCAUUCAUCAGGCAGCUGUGAUUAAGGCAAAUUUGUGAAAGUUUCUUUCUUCCCUGUGUAAUCUGUAUCUCUCUUUAUUUUGCAGAGCUGACAAAAGAGAACGAGGAAAAUGAAUGGCCUUCCUUGAAAUUUUCCCCAGCAAUAGGAGAUUAGAGAGAGAUGUGUCUUGAGUCUUAUUCUUUGGAAGUCCAAUACAGUUCACCAUAUACAAGUAUUCCCAUACUAUGCUUAGGAUAUUCGGUUCAUUGUCAGACAUGGCAGCUUAUUAUUGGCUUAGCUUCAGAAUGUUCCUGCAAGUCACUCCUGUGCCCAAAUGGAAAUGCAGAUUCCAUGGACUCUUAAAAAAAAAGUGAGGCACUGCAAGAGCUUUCAGCAGGGGUUCAUCACCAUUUUCUUUUUUCAUACCCAACGUGGUGUGCUUUUAUACACUGGAGUGGCAUCAGAACAAUCCUAUGUUAUAUUAAAAAACAACACAGAAGAGGUUUAUGAAUUAUGUAAAGCUAUGCCCAGGCUGAAGUGACUUGCUGUUGGGUUUAGUGCAGGGGUGGAGUAUUUCGCCCAGCUUUCUUCAGCAUUUCACGGGGAUAGGAGUGAAAAUGCUCCCCCAAAGUUUGAUUUUAUCUGGGGGGGGGGGGAUUCUAAGACGUUUUAUGACCAAGAUGGAAGUCUUCUUAAAUAACCAAUGAUUUAACACACACAAUUUUUUUUAAACGAAAAAGUGUGUGCUAAAAGCAGAAAGUCCACUUCGUUUUGGCCACCAAGGAAUUUCAGCUGGAGAAUCUGAAGUUCCUGAUCACAGAAUUUGCAACCUCCUGCCCCCCAUUUCAGAAUUCUAACUCUCACUUCUGUGUUGUCAUCGCUAGCACUCCAGCCCAGAAAUGAGAGGCCAAGUUCUUCUCUCAAUUAUGCUGAUUCAGCACCAUUAGGUUUGGGAGGGUUGCAGAAUAUAGCCCAAUGACUCCCUCAGGUUUAGCCCUCUCCUGAUUAAUUUUUAAAACACAUGACGUGCAUUAAGUUUAUUUUCAGAUUGUGCUUGUUUUUCUCUAGCUUUGAUGUAAAACAGAACUGCACAGUGAUCUGUCCUCCG